rnacentral:lncRNA from 1 species
GAUUAAGAUUUGAUUUAGGGUUUGAAUUAGGGUUUGAUUUAGGAUUUGGAUAAGGAUUUAGGAUUUGAUUAGGAUUUAGGAUUAGAUUAGGGUUUGGAUUAGGGUUUAGAAUUUAGUUAGGAUUUGAUUUAAGAUUUGGUUUAGGGUUUGGAUUAGGAUUUAGGGUUGAUUUAGGAUUUGAUUUAGGGUUUAGGAUUUGAAAUAGGAUUUGAUUUAGGGUUUAAUUUAAGGUUUGUUUAGGAUUUGAUUUAGGGUUUAGGAUUUAUUAGGAUUUAAGAUUUAAUUAUGUUUGGUCUAAAGUUUGAGUGAAAUUCAAUAGGGUUUUAAGUAGAAUUAAAUUAAGGUUGAAUUGACAUAUAUUUGAGUAAUAUUUGUGAUCAUUCUAAUAUUUCUUUAAGAAUUUAAUUGUUUGUUUGAAAUUUCUUUGAGUUGUUUUGAAUUUGAUUACGUUUAUUUACCAUUAUUAUAGUCUAAUUAGAGUAUUGUUAGUAUUCUAUUAGAAUUAGGAUUUUGUUAUCGCAAUUUCUAUUCUUCCUUCUACAGCCAGGUGCCUAGAGCAUUCUCAAGGAAGACUUCACACAUUACGACAACGUGGCAAUAUUAUAUAAAACCUCCAACUUGUGUUGACUUUAUUAGCCACAUAUUCCAACUUGCAAGGCAAGUUAUUUAUGUAUGUGCCACAUAAUUAGUUUGUUUCACAAGCUAUUAUAUGGAGUUAAUUUGUUCCAUAAGCUACCAACACGUGAUUAACUUGUUGGCCAAGUUUCUAACCUACAAAUACAUUUAAAUUUAAAACAGUAUCUAUGAAGCUUCUAAGAAGCUUUUCUAGAAGACUUUAUGAAAUUAAUCUAUAUUUACUUACUUCUAUCUAAUCAUAUAAGUAACUAUUGGGAUAAAUGUAUAUGUCUAUGACACUAAGAAGAUAUUAUGAAGAGUGAAGAACGCCUCAUUCUUACCUCCAAAUAUACUUUUGACUAAAAGCAUGUUGAUAUUCUAUAUGACUUCCAACACAUGUUGACUUUGUUAGACACAUGUCUUAACUUGCAAGGCAAAUUAUCUAUAUGUGUGCCAUUUAGUUAGCUUGUUAUAUAAGCUAUUAAUAUAUAUGAUAUGUUACUAAUUUCUUGACCAAGUUUCUAAUCUAUCAAUUCACUACAAAUAUAUGUAAUAUCAAAGCAGCAUCUAUAAAACUUCUAAAAAGAUUUUCUAAAAGAUAUUAUGAAAUUAAUUUAUUUUUAUUUAUCUCUAUCUAAUCAUAUAGGUAAUUAUUGGAAUAAAUAUAUAUAUCUAUGAUACUUGGUUUUAAAGAACAUGAAAAUAAUAAAAAGAUUUGUAAACUCAAACAAGCUUUAUAUGAUCUUUGAUAAUCUCUUCAUAUUUAAUAUAGAAGAAUUUACAAAUAUCUACAAAAGAUUGGACUAAGAUAGUCAUUUUCAAAUUUUAAUAUCUACAUUCAUUAUUAUAUUUUUUUAUUACUCUAUAUAGGUGAUUUGAUAAUUACAAGAUAUGAUAUAAAAGAAAUUUUCAAGAUUAAGAAAAUAUUUAUAUUUCAAUUUGAAAUGAAAAAUAUAGAAGUUUUUUAAAUUAAUUUUGGAAUUAAAUUCAAAAACUUUGAAUGUGGCAUAAUUCUUCAUGAAAAAAGUUAUAUAAAUAUUGUGCUUAAUGAAUUUGGAAUACUAGACUACAACCUUAGUACAAUUCUUAUAGGUAAAAGAACUAAACUUCAAUGUAUUAUAGGAGGUAAACCAAUUGACAAUACUAAAUAUAAAGACUUGUUGAAAAUUUUAUACUUAUUCUACAUUGAAAGACACGAUUUUAGCUUUAAGGUUAGUAAUAUAAGUUAAUACUAUACAUCACUACAAAAACUACUAUCGUAUUAUGUAAAUUCUUGCUUGAAAAUACACUAGACACUUGGCCAUUAAAAGUAAAAGAAAUUUGCAGCAACAAGAUUUAAUAAUUCUAAUAUAAUCAUAUAUAAAAUAAAAUUAAUAAUUAAAAAAUAUAAUCAAAAAUUAAUUAAUUCCAAUUAAAUUUUCAUAGAAAUUAUAAAAGAAACACGAAGAAAUCCUAAAGAAUUUUUAUAGAUUCAUAAAAAAAUAAUAAAAAAAUCCAAAAAAAAACCAAAAAAAAAUCUACAAGAAUCUUUAAAAAAUCUUAAAGAAAUUCUAAAGAAUUCUAUAGAAAUCCUAAAUCUUGAAUCGAUCCUAAUUAGAUCUUAAAUCCUUAAUUAAUAAUAUUUAAAACUUAAAUCCUAAAUAAAAUUCUAAUCAAAUCAUUAAUCUUAAAUCAAAUUCUAAUUAAUUCCUAAAAAAAUCCUAACUAAAUUCAAAUAAAUUCAAAUCAAUUCAAAUCAAUCUUAAGCUAGCUUUAGAACCUCAAUAUCUAUUGAUUAAACCAUUGAUAUUGCUUAAGUUAUUUUUUAUAUCUUAACUUCUUAAUUAACAAUAAGUACAAUAAAUUUGAAGAAAAUUGAACUUACAAAAUGGAAAAAAACAUUGUAAUCCACUUGGAUGUGAGUCAAUUUCCAUCUUUGACCUUAAUGUUAAUCUUCUAGUAGCAAUAACUCCUAAUUGCUCUCAAAUUUUGCACAAAUGAUGAAAGACAAGUAAACUAUUAGCUUCAAUAAAAAUCAGUUCAAUUCAAUUAAUAAAUUAUUGUAUAUCUUCAAUAAUCUUACUAGACCUAAAAAUCCAAUGCUUGAGACCUCGAUCUACUUGAACUUCAAUAACCUCUAAUCUAAUUUUUCAAUUAAGUUAAAAUUCAUAAUAUAUAUUUAAUACAACUAUAUUUAUAGCCUAAUAAAAUUUUAUAAAUAGACUUGCUUUAAAAUUCACAAAAUUUUUCAAAUAAUAAAUCUUAUUUUAUUUCACAAAAUCCGAAGUCAUUCAAAACAACCUUAACUUUUCAAAGUUCUUACAAAGUUAUUACAAACUCAAAUUUCUUAAAACCAAUGCUUUAAAAAAUUCUAUAAAGUCUUCUCUUAAUUUUCAUUCUUUGAGUUACAAAAGAACUCCAAAGUCACCAUAGAUGAGCACUUUUGUGUCUUAAGAUUUGAAUUUGAUCCAAAUCAACAACUAAUCUUUUCCAAGUAUCAAUUUUUAUCUUCUUGAGAUAAUUUUUGCUAAAAUCAAUUAUUAAUUCUUUCUUGUAUAUGUUUAUAUCUUUUGUUCUUCUAAUCUAUCUUAGUUUACCUUAUUUGUGGUUCUAUUAAUUAAAUAGAAGUCCACUUUAUAAAAAAAGAACAUUUAUAUUUUUAAAUUAUUACCUUUUAAAUAUUAUUUAUAUUUCUAAGGUGAUUUUUUAUAAUAUUUUGAAAGAAAAUCUUCUAAAAUAUAAUAUUUUCUUCACUCUUUUAUCUAUUAGCUAUGUUGCAUCAUAACAUCAUAUUAGAAGGCUAGAAUAUAUAUUUUAUGAUAUGUAAAAGAUAUUAUUGAUCUAAAAAUUUAUUAUCAAAACAAAUUGGUGAAUUAAUUGCUUACAUUGAUAUUAAUGGAAGAAAAGAUAUUAAUUUGCAAAGGUCAAUCUCUAGUCUUUUUUAUAUAAUUAGAGAUACUCUUUUCAACUAGAAUUUCAAACUAUAAAGCACUGUUGUUUUUUCUACUAUUGAAAUAAAAUAUUGUAUAAUAUUUGAAGCUAUAAAAGUCAUCACAUAGCUUUGAAGGCUAUUCAAAGAUUUAUACAUAAAAGUUAAUGAAGCAACAUCAAUCAUUAAUGAUAAUCAAACAUGCCUAAAGUUUUUAGUUAAUCUAAUAUUAUAUGUAAAGAAUCAAAUAUAUAUAGAGAUGCACUUUUACUUCAUUUAAAAAAAUAUUUAAUUUAGAAUGAUUAAAGUUUUAUAUAUUUAAAAAAAAACUAAUAGAUAUAUUAAUUAAAUUAGUUAGUAAAAUUUUACAUACUAAGCUAAUUAAAAAAAUAGAAUUAACUCAUCUUUGUUCCUAAAAUUUAUAUUAAUUGUACAUUCAAACUUCAACUUCUAUUCGUCAAUAAAAAACUUAUUUGAUAAGUUGUUUUAUAGACUAUUAUAAACAAGCUAUUCUCAUUUUUAAACCUAUGAAAUAAAUACCUAGAUUAUAUGAUUUUAGCCAUGAUAUACUAUUCAUAUCCAAAAGCAUCAAUUUUUAUAAAUAUCAAGAUACUUCAAUAAUUUAUAGACUCUAUCUCUCUUCUAUAGUCUAUAUUUAAACCUUGUAAUUAAAAAAAAAUAUUAAUUUUUAAUAGUCCAUUCAAUAUCUCUCUCUUUAUAAAACUUAUAUCAAUUUUUAAUUAAAAAAUUAAUAUAUUCAUAGUAAUAGAAUUCCUAAAACUUUUAUUACAAAAUUUAUACUCAUAAUUUAUAUCACAAUAUAAGCUUUUGCUCAUUUUCAAAAUAAAGGUUUAUAAGUCGAUUUAGGAACUUAUAUAGUAAGUGAUAAGUAUAUGUGAUUAUAUAAUCACAACAUUUCUUCAAAAAUGUAACCAAAAACCAUUCAUUUAACAAAAAUACCUCAUAUUAAAUCAAUAUAAAAAUAAUUUAUAUAAAAAAAGUAAAAAAAAACAUAAAUAAAAAAUAAAGAAAAAAGAUAUUUACUUAUAAGAGGCAAUUGACUUACUUGCUCAAUACAUACAUGGAAAGAAAACAAUGUUGUAGCAGAAUUUCACCACAUAAAAAUAUAAAAAUAAAAAAAAAUCUUAAGCAAGAUGUGAAAUUGGAUAAAAAGAAGUAUCUAGGAUUUCUUCCUCUUAAAAAGUUGAUACUUGCCUGAAAUCCUUACAUAUAAGGAUGAACUUGAUACCUACAUAAGCAACCCAUAGUAAAGAUAUCAAUAGAUAUGUUUUAAGAUAAAGAAUAAUUCAAAUACAUUGUCAAAAUAUAAUGCAUGAAAAGAAUCCUUGAAUACAUCACGUUCUAAAGUAUAUAAAUUGAUUAUAUCAUAUGAAUAUAUAUAUAUAUAUAUAUAUAUAUAUAUAUAUAAUUUUUGUUGUACAUAAAUAAAGUUACAAGGUCUAUAUGUUGGAACUAAUGGUUUAACCAAAAUACUAUUAAACUUGUAAUAUAUGUUUAAUAUCACUUUAAAUUCUAAAAAUAUAAUUAUUGAGAAUUAUUUUAUAAAAAAUAUUUUAAAUAAAUAUUUUAGAUUAUUAAAAUAUUUUAUAUAUAUAUAUAUAUAUAUAUAAUCUUAAAAUAAUCUUAAAUUUGAAAUUGAUAUUACAAAUAAAAUCAAUUAUUAUCACAAAAAUAUAUAUUUAAUCCAAUAAUCACCUAUAUGAUUACAUAGAAGUAGGUAGAAGUAGAUUAAUUUUAUAAUAUCUUCUAAAAAAGCUUCUUAGAAGCUACAUAAAUAUUGCUUUGACUUUACACGUAUUUGCAGUUAAUUGAUAGAUUAUAAACUUAAUCAACAAGUUAGCCACAUGUCACACAUAUUGGUAGCUUAUGGAACAAACUAAUUAUAUAGUAUCUAUACAAAAAUCUUGCCUUAGAAAUAUGUGUCUUACAAAGUCAACACAUGUUAGAGGUCUUGUAAAACAUUGCCACAUAACUUCUAAUUAGAUAGUAUGGAAGUAAGACUAAAGCUUUUUUCACUCUUGUCAAUUCCUUUCAAAUCUUUAGUCUUGUUUCAAGAAUUUCUAAUCCUCUUGUCUUUAGCAAUAGCCAUUUUAGUUGAAUAUAUUAUCAUCUUUGAGUCAUUUUUUAGUCAUUUCAAGUGACACAAGAUUGUAUUAAGAUUUUCUUUCAUUGAGAUUUAUGUCCUUAACAUAGAUAGUAUAUAUGUAAGCAAGAAUAAAGUUGUCUUCACUCUUAUCAAAUCCUUUCUUGCUUCUAAUUUAGUUUCAAGUAUCUCUAGAUUUCUAGUUUUUUGCAGUAGACAUUUCAUUUUUUUUUAAAUAUAUAUAUUUUUUUACUAUUAUUUUUUAUCUCUCUUUGACACUUAUUUCAUUUAUUUAUAUAUAUUCUUUCAGGUUCUUGACCUUGAAAAUUACUUUUAAAAAAAAAAAAAAAAAAAAAAAAAAUCUAAAAUCUAUUAGAUAUAUUCAAAUAUUCUUGAAUUUGUAUUUAAAUUAUUAAAAUUUAUUUUCUAAAAAAUUUCAUGAUUUAAAAUCUAAAAAUAAACAAAUAAAAAAUAAUUAUAAUUAAAAAUAAAACUCACAUAAUUUCUAAUAAUAAUUAAUAAAAAUUUAGAAAAAUAUAAUGAUUUUAAAUCACAUGGUUAUAUUAUAAAAUAAUAAAAGUAAAAAAUAUAUAUAAUUAUAAAAUUAAAUAUAAAAUCAAUAUAUAUAAAUUUUAAAUUUCAUAUAAAAAUAAUAUAUUUAUUUAUACUAAAUUGAACUGAUUUUAUUAGUUCUAUUUUAUAAUAUUUGGAUAAAUUUGUGUUUUGUAUUGUUACUGAAAAAAUAAAAAUGCUCUUAUCACAACUUGAUACUUAAAUUUAUUUUUAAUUUUUAUUAUAUCCAUAUUAAAAAAAUCAUGAAUAAAUUAUUUUAAAUUUUAUUUUCUUAUAAUUAAUAUAAUUCUAUCUAAUUAUCACUUUUUUUUUCUAUUUUAUUCUUUCUAUCAUAUUUGAAAAAAAAUCUAAUAAUAUAAUUAUAAAAGAUGAUAGUUAUCUUAAGUGAAGAUACUUCAAUAACUAAUAUCUUUUAUUAAAUUUAUAUUUAACCUUCUUAAUUCAUUAUUAACUCUUGUGAAGGAAUUGUAAGUAGAUUUUGAAAAGUUUCUAAACAUGCAUCUUUUGAAACAAGUAUAUCCUUUAGAUUUUAGUUUUUUUAAAACAAAUAUAUAAUUUUAUAGUUAACUAUUAAAUAUAUAAUUUUAAAUCUUUUUUAUUACUUUCAAUAUAUAUUUUAAUUUAAAAAAUAUAUAUUUAUAAUUAAUAAUUAUAUAAGAAUUACAAAAUAUUUUUAGACUUACUAUAUUUGAAGCUCAUGACCAUCCAAAGUAAGUAUAUACAAUACUUUUGAUAUUAUUGUACUUAAAUGUUACCGAACAAAAAAAGAUAGAGACAAAGCAAAAAAUUUGCCUUACAAGAAACAAAGAGCCUAAAGUAUUUAGAGUGAUUAUAAGAUAUCUUCUAAUAGAGACCAAUAUAAAGUACAUAGUCACCACCUUUGUAUUGAUGUUCUACUCUUAGGAUAUUUGAAUAUAAAUUUCGACCUAAUUGUGCAAGACAUAGCUUAAUAUUUAUUAAUUAGGUAGUUAUCUAUAGUAAGAUCUCAUUGGAUAUAGGUCUAAUGUUUCUUCAAGUAGCAAAUAUACUUAAUUAGAAUCUGGUCCUUGAUUUUGUAUGUAUGUGUGCUCUUAUUUUUUUUAGAUAUAUAUAUAUAGAUAUAUAUAUAUAUAGAUAUAUAUAUAUAUAGAUAUAUAUAUAUAGAUAUAUAUAAAUAUUUUAAAUUGAACAUGAUAUUAGAGCAAGUUUUGUAGUUUAGCUUAUCUUUUGGCAAGAGCUCAGUUCUAUACCUUGUUAGUUUGGCCUAGACAUAUCAAUAAUAUAAAGUACUAUUCCAAAAGAUCUAUUUAUUAGUUUGCAUUAAUAAAACAACCAUGCUCAAGAUGGCUUUUAAUUAUUUUUUUUGAUAGUUUUUUGAUGACUUGAGUAAGCUAGUUGAAUCAAUUAAUUAUCAUAAUUGGAAGAUGAACAUUUUAUAGAAAGAUAGAAUUUAGAAUUUUUUUAUUUUUUUAAGAACAUUUUUUUUUCUUUAUAUAUUCAAUAACUUAGUAUAAAUCCAAUCCAAAGUGCUCUACUAGCUCAUUUUAUUUAGCUUGUAAAAAUUACUCUAUAAAAAAAAUUUGUAGAUAGAGAGAUAAAAAUUCAAUGGCUAGUAGUAAUUCUUGCAGCAUUGCCAAUAGCUCUAAAGGCUAAAAUAAUUUGAAAAGAACUUGAGAUAUCCUAUUGUCAAAACAAAAUAAUAAAAAUUAUCAUAACCUUUGUCAAAGAUGAUUUAUUAUGUAAAGUAUUCAAAUUUUUUGAUCCACACUUAAAUAGAAGCAUCUUUAGUUAACAUAUAAGAUAUAAGAUAUAGCCAAAAAAAAAUAUUAUUAUAUAACCACCAUUAUACCUUGAUGGUCACUAAAGGUUCUAGUAUUGAUGGAUAUUUAAGAAACCUUAAGGACCAAAUUUCAAAUGUCUUGUACAUGCUUGUCCAUUGCAAACAGAAAAAAAGGUAGAAAUUAUCUCAAAUACUUUACCUACUUCAUAUGAUUCAUUUAUUUAUAAAAUAUGUGGAACAAGAGUUAGUCUUCAUUUUAAAAUAAUAAUUGAAUGAUUACACUAUGAAAAAAGUUGUUGAGUUCUAAAGUAUAGAUCACAAGCUUAAUGAAGAGGCUCUAUUUUUUAAAAUCAAGUGAUUAUCUUAAUAGACAUACUAUUAUAUUUUUUUUAUUAAGGUAGAUUUGGUCACAUAUUCUUAAAUUGCUGUAAGCAAAAAAGUAACAUCAAGAAUUUAGAUUUGGAGAGCCCACAAAAAUUUGAAAAGCAUAACAUACAUGCCUUAUAUGAACAUUCUUCUAUAAAAAUUCUAAAAAAAAAUAAUGAAUACACACAAAAAUUAUUUGAUAUAGUAUUAGUCAAUAUUAUUGCCACUCUAGAUUAUAAGUAGUGUAUUGAUUUUGGUGCCUCAAUUCACGUCACAAGGCAAAAAGAACUAUUUUAAAACCUUCAAAGUCUUUUGGACUAAGAUUAAUCAAAAUUGCUAAUGGAUAUAUGUAUGCUACUAGUGGCUUUAGAAAUGUAAUUGUUAGAACUUCUAUAUGAAAAAUAAAGAGCCUUCAUAUUAUUUUAUAUAUAUUAAGUAAAAAUAAUAACUUACUUUCAAUAAAAAAAAUUAUCAAGGAAGAAUAUAAUGUGAUAUUUGAUGAAAAUAAUUGUGUUAUAAUUUGAAGGAGUGACAACAAGGUUAUUUCCAAUAAAUCAUUAGAUAUAAUAAAUGGCAUAUAUUAAUUACAUCUUCAACUACCACAAAUCAGCCUUGAAGUACGUUUAAAGGAUAAUGUCUUAAUAGUCAAACUUUGGCAUAUACAACUUAAUUAUUUGUAUUAUUAUACUUUCAAGUUCUUAUUUGACAAUAAAAUGGCCAUAAAAAUCCCAAAUCUAUUGUUGAUUAAUGAUGUAUGUUUGAGGUAUCAAUUGAAGAAGCACAUUUGAGAAAUUUUUUUGCAUAGUUAAAUAAGAAUCACUAUUGUACUUAAAUUGAUAUAAUUUGAUAUAUGUAGUCAUUUUCUUAUUAAAUCAAUAGUUAGAUUGUUCUAUUUCAUAAAAUUUAUUAAAAAAUUCACUUGCAAAUUUUGGAUUUACUUCUUGUAUCAAAAAUCCAAGGCAUAUUUUAAAUUUUUAGAAUCCAAAAGUGAAGUUAAAAAAUAAAGAAUAAAUUGCUUUCAACUUUCACAUAAGAAUCAAGGGAGGGAGAGAUGAAGGAAGAUGGGUGCAAAAGGAGGAGUAUAUGUCACGUAUUUUUCUAAAAUAUUUUUCUAAUAGAAAGAUUGUAAGAUAAUAUACUUAAGCUUAAAUAUCUCAAUAAAGUGGAGUAUCUAAGCAAAUGAAUCAAUUAUAAAUUAUGUGAACAAACAUAGUCCAUGAUGCUAAAAAAUAAAGUAUCUUAUUUUUUAUAGAUAGAAGGCAUUAAUACAUCUAUUUAUUUUUUUAAUUAUUUUUUUAUUAAAUUUAAUUAUUAAAUCACAUAUUAAAAAAUAUAUUAAAAAAUAAAACCUAAUUUAAAAAAUCUAAUAAAUUUUUGAUGUAGAGUAUUUAUAAAUGUGCCAAAAGAGAGAAGAAAACUUAAGAGUAAGAAUAGCCAAAAGAAUCAUUGUAUAAUAUAAUUUACAUUCUAAGAAAUUUGAAUGCUAUAGUCUUAAGUAGAAAAAGAUUUUAGUAAUCAAAGAUGUUCAAUUUAAUAAAGGAUCUAUAAAUUUAAAAAUUAAAGUUGAUCUUGAUCCAUUAUCAAAUAAUUUAACUAACAUUGAUGAGUAAAAAUCUUAGAUCCAUACUAAUCUUGUGCUGCUAACUUACACUCCUUCAUUUAGCCAAUCUUAGACAAGUACAUAAAAUUCUAAGACAAAUUUAGUAAAUACAUAAAUAUUCUCUCAAAUCAAAGAUGAAUCUCAAGAAGAAGCCAAUUGGCCUAUAUCAAAGGAAUCCUCUAAUAACAAACUUGUAAAGUCGUCUUCAUUAAUACUUAAUUUUUAUUCUUUAAUGGCAACUCUACCACACCUUUUCCAUCAAUGCACUAAAAUAUGACCAAUAUAAGAUAUAAAGCGACUUUGAUAAAUAUAAGACUAUCAAAUUACAUUUAUUAUAGUUCCAAAAUUACACAAAUUUGUCAAAAAUGAGUUUAUCAUAGCCAUUGUAUAAUCUAAAGAGCUAAAUAAUUUUUACAAUGUAUUUUAUUUUGAAAGAUGGUUGCAAGAUAUGAAUCAUGAAAUGGAUUUUAUAAUAAAAAAAAAUCUUAUUUGAUCUAAUGGAUUUUUUUUUCAAUAAGAAAUCAAUCACAUUGCAUUGAAUUCAUAAUAUAAAAAUAAUACUUGAUGAUAAAUUAAAUAAGUUGAAAGUAUUAUUGGUAGCUUGAGAUUUUGAGUAAGAAGAAAGCAUUGACUUUAAUGAGACCUAUGCACCAAUGGCUAGAUAGAAUAUAAUACAUUUAGUUGUAGCUCUAAUUACAAAUCAAAGAUAGAAAAAGCUACAACCUUCAUGUAAAAGAAAAGCUUUCUCAAUAGAAACCUGUAGUAGGAUGUAUAUAUCAAAUAAACAUACGAAUUUUAGGUACUAAGAUAAGAAAAUAAAUUUUAUACACUUGCUUGCAUGAUAUAUGGACUAUGCCAUGUUUUAAAUUCAUAGUAUAUUAAGAUCAAUGAAUACUCAAAAAAAUCAAGACUUAUAUUAAAAUGAGUUCGAUUAUAACUUACACUAUCUACAAGAUAGUCAAAAGUCAAUUUUUUUAAUUUUAUAUAUCAAUGAUUAAUAAUAAAUAAAUUUAAUAGUUGAUCAAGCAAUUGAAAUGGUAUUUUUAAAUGACCAACCUUGCUUUGUUGAAUUUCUAUUCUAGAUUAGAAUUUUCAAUUUUCUAUAGAAGGAUUUUUAUGUGUUAAAAGAUAUAUACUAUUAAACUCUUAACCAACUUUAGUAUGGUUGGAUAUAUAUUUUUUUCUACUUCCUUUUCAAAAAUAUCAUAACUUGGUGCCAAAGAAUAAGCCAAAUUCUAUGAUGCGCCUAUCUAUUAGAGAUAAAUUAACAAAUUAUUUUAUCCAAAAACUUUACUAGACUUAUUUUUUGUCAAAAAUUUAUUUGAUAGGUAUAUUAGAUAUUCAAAAGUGUCAUAUGGAUGAUAUAAUUUAUUUACUUUGAUACUUAGUAAGAACAAUAAAUUAUAAUAUUUUAUAUUAUAUGAAAGAAUCUAAUAUUUUUUUUGGCUAUAUUAUUUUUCUUAGCUCAAAGAAUGUACUAAUUAAAAAUCUACAUCAAGCUAUGUAUUUUCUUUGAGGUCUUGCCAAUUACCUAUAGUUCUAAACAAAUAAUUGAUUGUUAUGCUAUUGUAAUACGUGAAGUCUUGCUUCAGAAUGCUCCAAGUACUUGGCUGUGGAAAGUAGAAUAGAAAUUGCAACAACAAAAUCCUAAUUCUAAUAGAACACUAACAAUGCUAAAGAAGCUUUAAUUAAAUUCAAAGAAACCUCAAAGGAAUUCCAAAGUAACAAUAAAAAAUCUUAAAGAAAUAUUAGAAUGAUAACAAAUAUAUCUCAAAUACAUCUUAAUUCAAUCUUAAUUUAAUCCUAGUUGAAAUCUUACUUCAUUCAAACUUUAGGCCAAAAACUAACUAAAUCUUAAAUUCUAAAUAAAUUCAAAUAAAAUCCUAUACUCUAAAUCAAAUCUUGAUUAAAUCCUAACAAAACCUUAAAUCCCAAAUCAAAUCCUAAAUCCUAAAUCAAACCCUAAUCAAAUUCUAAAUCCUAAACUAAAUCCUAAUCAUAAAUCAAAUCCUAAAUCAAAUCCUAAUUUUACAUCAAAUCUUAAUCAAAUCCUAAUCAAAUCCUAAUCAAAUCUUAAACCCUAAUCCUAAAUCAAAUCCUAACCAAAUCCCAAUCCUAAUCCUAAAUCCUAAACUAAACCCUAACCAAACUCUAACCAAACUCUAACCAAACCUUGAUCCUAAACCAAACCCUAACCAAAUCCUAAAUCCUAAACCAAAUCCUAAUCUUAAAUCAAAUCCUAAUCAAAUCUAAACCUUAAUCCUAAAUCCUAAAUCAAAUCCUAAUGAAUCCCUAUCCCUAGAUCAAAUCCUAAUCAAACCCUAGUAAUUUCUACAACAUAAUUAAACCUCAACAACUGAUGAAUGAACCAUUGAUCUUAACUCAAAUUUUGCACAAUUCUAAAAAACUAAGUUGAAAACAAGCACAAAAAUUUUGAAAAGGAUCGAAAGUACCAAAUAGACAAUAAUCUCAAAAAUGUGCUCAAAUAUUGACCAGCCUCCUUCUCCAACCUUGAUGCCAAUCUCCCAGAGCCAAUAUCUCUCUUUUUCACCGUUCGAUUGAUUUCAAAAUUCUCAUACAUAUAGAAAAAUAAUUCUAAUAUCUUCUCACAUAAAUUUCACUCUAAUCCAACUAGUAGAUUGUAAGAAAUCUUAAAAACCCUCACUAGACCUAAAAUUCUACUUUCUAAGACCUUGACUCACUUAAACCUCAAUAAUCCUUAAUUCAACUAUUAGAUCAAGCUAAGAUUCACAAUACAUAUUAAGCACAAGUAUAACCAUUAAUCUAUAAAAUUUCACUUAUAGAUCUAUUAAAAAAUUCUUGAAAUCACUAGAAAUAUCAACCCUAUUUUAUUUCACAAAUCCCAAGUCAUCCAAAAAUAAUCUUGACUUUGUAAAGCUCUUACAAAGUCAUAAAAACUCCAAAUCACCCAAAAUCAAUGCUCAUAGAAAUCUUAUCCAAUUUGCCAUCAAAUCCCAUUCUUUGAUUUGCAAAAGAAUUCCGGAAUCAUCAUCAAGACUCGGUUUUGUGCCUUAGGGUCUGAUUUUGAUCCUAGUUCAUAACCGGCCCUCUUCAGGUAUCAAUAUUUAGUUUUUCUAAGUAAAUUUUGCUAGAAUUUACUCUUCACUUCCUUCUAAAGAUGCCUAUAUCAUUUAUUUUUCUAAUCUACUUUAUUUUGCCUUAUUUAUGGUCCUACAAAGUAAGUAGAAGUCACCUUUCUAAAAGGCAACAUUGGUACCUUUUAGUUUUAGUACCCUUUUGACUAUUAACUAUAUUUAUAAGAUAAUUUGCUCUUAUACUUUGAACUAAGAUCUCCUACAUUAUAAUAAUUUCUACACUCUUUCACCUAUUAGUUAUGUUACAUCAUGACAACGCUCUCUUCGACUAAAGCAAAAAAUAAAUCUUUAUUAAUUGCUACAAAAGAUGAUUUGUAAUUACAAUCAUUAUUAAAAAAUAUCAAGAAAUUUCUAAUAACUACGACCAUCUUUGUUGAUAAUCAAAACUACAUGAAAAUUUAUAAAAUGCAAUAUAUCAUACAAGAACCAAAUACACUACAACUCAUUACCACCUCAUCAGAAAAAAGAUUAUUUCAAAAGAGACUAAUAUGACUUAUAUUAUCGUAGGAAACUAAAUAGUUGACAUUCUCACAAAAGCACUAAGCAAAACAAAGUUCCAAAAUUUUAGAUGAAGAUUAUACUUACAUAGUAUGUCUCAAGUCAAAGCUAUUUAUGGAUUAUAGAAAUAAGACUUAAACUUAAGUUGAUAAUUUAGUCAUAGUUGUCUUUUCAACUUUGAAAAUUAAUGUGUAAAAAUAAGUUCCUAUUCACUUAUUUCUUGUACUAUCUCUUUAUUCUUCUUCUUCUACCUUUUAAUCUGUAUCAAAUUUUUCUUCAUAAGCUUCUUAAAAUUAUUAAUUUCUAUCUUAAGAUAUUUAUUUCAAAAUAAUCUUAUUUUUUUUAUUAUUCUAAUACACUUUAAAUAUCAUAUAAUAUCUUAUUUCAUGAAUUAUAAUACAUUCUAUUUAAUUGUAGUCUCUAUAAAUCUAUGCUAGUCUUUUUGCACUUGUCAUAGAAAAAAAAAAAAAAUGGUGGUGAAAGAGAUAAGUUUAGCUUAGACUACAAGACACUAACUAUAAUUGAGUUAAAAAUUAUAGUGUUGUUGAUGUCUUAAUGUUACUUAAUAGCAAAGAUCUAUUGAUUUCAUUCAAAGCUUCUAAAAGCCACUACCAUAAAGAUGAUGGCCUACUUAUGAUAUCUUCAUUGCUAUGACAAGAACAAAUUAGGUUGUAAUAAAAUACAUUAAUAUUAAAAUCAAAAUUUCUUUUGAAAUAUCACUUGUGCCAAGAUAGUACUUUAAUUCUUCAUUUAAAAAGCUCGAAGAUAGAGACUCAAGUAAUGAGGUGACAUAUAAGUACUUAAGAGAAUAAAGGAAUGCUUCACCUAGCAAUGCAUUUAUAUAAUUAAUUAAUUAUUAAAAAAAUAAGCACACAUUAUAUAUAGACAUGAUAAAAAUUUCUAAUUAUAUAACUUCUAAUCAAUACUUAUAGAAGUAAAACUUCUAUUAUUAGAUUUAAUUGAUAUCAUUACUAAAAAUAAAUUAUUUUUAAUUAAUAAAUAUUUUUAAAAAACUUUUAAAAAAAAUUGAUAGGAUUUGUUCAUUAAUUCAUGUGGAUACUAUUGCUUUGGCUUCAAAAUGAUGUGUAGGUGGACAGAUUGAUGUAUACAUGUUCAAAUAUACCUUAAGUAAAGAAUGGUAUUGAUAUUUUAUUCUCAGGGUACUUGAAUAUAAUCAUCAAUUCAAUUGUACAAGAUAUAACUUAUUACUCAUCGACUAGGUAGAUACUUGCAGUGAGAUUUCAUUAGACAUAGAUCCAAUGUUUUUUUAGGUACAAUAGGUAUUUAAUUAGAAUCUGGUCAUUAAUUCUAUGUGUAUAUGUACUCUAUUUUUUUUAGUUAUAUUUGUUUAACUUUUCUAUAUUCAAUACUUUAAACACAAUCUGAUGGUAGUCAAUAAUUGCAUUGUAACAAAGAAGGCAAACAAGUAUAAGAUCAAUUGUAAUGAAGGUGUAUAAAAUAAUGCUUAACUAGCAAGCACUAUUAUAUCUAGAAAACAUAAAAGAUGGCCAUACCUACCUUGAUCUUUGUUGUUAUACCAUCCAUAACUCCACUUGUAUUAAAGACAUGAAUUUAAAAAAAAAAAAAAAAAAAAAAAAAAAAAAAAUCCUUAAUAUAUUCUUGUGUCAUUCAAAAGAAUUAGAAAGUCAUUCAAAGAUGAUAUAAUAUUAAACUAGAAUGGCUAUUUUUAAAGAUAAGAAGACUAGAAAGUCUUGAAAUAAGACUAAAGACUUGAAAGGCAUUGACAAGAGUAAAGAAGGCUUCACUCUUACUUCUAUAUAUAUUUUUAAUUAGAAGCUACUUGGUGAUAUCCUAUAGAACCUCCAAAACAUAUUGAUUUUGUAAGACAUGUAUCUUAACUUGCAAGGCAAGUUUUCUAUAUGUAUACCAUAUAGUUAACUUCUUUUAUAAGCUAUCAACAUGUGGGUAACUUAUUAACUAAGUUUCUAAGCUAUCAAUUAAUUACAAAUACAUGUAAAGUCAAAAAAACAUCUAUGAAGCUUAUAGGAAGCUUUUCUAAAAAAUAUUAUGAAUAUAAUUUACUUUUACCAAGUUCUACUUAAUUAUAUAGGUAUAUAUUAGAAAAAAUAUAUAUGUCAAUGACAUUAUCUCUCCUUCUAAGAAUAAGUUUCAUGAAGAGUGGUCUUCAUAUGUUAAGAAAAUCUAUGAUAUAAUAAAUUGUAUUUGUUACAUACUCUAAUCUUUAUUUUCUUCAAAGAUGGUUCAUAGGUCUUCUCAGCCAUCAAUAAUGUUUUACAUCAAAACAAGAAGUCCACCCUAUAAUUUAGUCAUUAUUGAGGCCUUUGUAACUUCCUUCAAAUAAAAUAUUUGGAACACCGUUAGGAAUUGUUUUUACAUCUAAUAAAAUCAUCCAACAUUGAGAGUCUCUUCAAAGGUCAUGAUAUCAAACAUGUUGUAUUACGUGAAGCCUUGCUUGAGAAUGAACGAAGCACCUCAUUGUGAAAGGUAGAAGAAAAAUUGCAACAAUAAGAUUUUAAUUUAAAUAGAAUCCUAAAUAAUUUUAAUUAAAUCUUAAAAAUACUACUCAAAUUAUAAUAAAAUCCAAAAAAACCUCAAAGAAAUUAUAAAAGAAGCAUGUAAAAAUCCUAAAGAAAUUCAAAGAAAGUAUUAGAAUAAAAUCUUAAAUAUAUCUUAAAUAAAUUCUAAUCAAAUCUUAAUUUAAUCCUAGUUAAAAUCCUAAUAUUUUUUAUUUAAAUCUUUGGUCAAAUUCUAAUUGAAUCUUAAACAAUCCUAAAUCCCAAACAAAUCCUAAAUCCCAACCAAUUCCUAAAUUCUAAAUCAAAUCCUAAUCAAAUUAACCUUAUCCUAAUGUAGUUUAGAACCUCAAUAUCUAUCGAUUAUACUAUUAAUAUUGCUUAAGAUUUUACACACCUCUCAAAAACUAAGUUUACAACAAGCAUAUAAAAUUUGAAGAAGAUCAAACAUACCAAAUAGAAGAUCAAACCUAAAUUCUACUUAGGUAUUGGCUAGCCUCCUAUUCUAAUCUGAAUGUUGAACUUCUAGCGUUAAUAUCUCCUUCUUGAAUUGUUGAAUUGCCUCUAAAAUAUACAAAUUUUUUUAAAAUUAAGUCUAGUCUCCAUACAAAAAAAAUCACUUCAAUCCAAUUAACAAAUCUCUAAAGAUCUUAAAAAUACUCAUUGACCCUCAAUUUUAAUUUCUGAGACCUCAAUCCACAAAAACCUUUAUAUACUUUGAUCUAAUCAUUUAAUUGACCUCGAAAUUUGGGCACAUUUUAACUAAAAUACUAACACACUACCCAAAAUUUAUCCGUACACACACUUAUUGAUAACUUCCUCUUAAACAUGUUUAUAUCAAUCACUUAUCUCAUUUACUUUGCUUUGAGGUAUUUAUAUAUCUACAAAGCAAAUAGAAGCUUUUUUUCUAAAAGACAACAUUAUGAUUAAACCUUUUAUUACCAUUCUAUCAUUUAUUUUUUAUUUUUUUUUUCUAUUACAUCUUUUUACUAGACUCUUCUAUAAUAACACCUAUGUUUUCAUUUUUUAUCAUAUAGUCAUGUUACUAUAUGACAUCCAUCUCCUCUAAACUUUACAUCCUUUAAUAUGCACCAAAUAUCUUCACUCACUUUUCUACAACUGAUAUUUUUAAUCUUAUUCUAUCUAAUUUUUAUAAUAAAUAAGUUAUAUUAUCAUAUAAAAUUAUUACCUCAUAUGAUUCAAACUAUUAUUUUUAAAACUUCUUUAAAAAAUUAUAUUGAUUGUCCAAGUUACUAUCAUAGUCUAAUAUCCAAUCACCUUUUCCAAUUGCUUUCGGUCUCAAUUGAUGUUUUUUUAUCAAAUUGUACCUUAUUUUAUAACCUUAUUAUUUUUAAUCUUUCUAAUGCCAUUUAUAUAUCUUUAAGUCAUUUUUCAAGUUAUUAAAUUUUAAUAGCUAAAAGUUCCUCUCUUAUCAAUUCAUCUUUCUAUGGCAGCACAUUCCAAGUAUGUGUCAUAAAUAUAUAUCUACCAUAAUUAUUAUCUAGGUAAUAUGAAUACAUAGAAGUAAGUAAAAAUAGAUUAAUUUCAUAAUAUUUUCUAGAAUAGCUUCUUAGAAGAUUCCUAGAUAUUUUUUUGACUUUAGAUAUAUUUAUAGUUAAUUGAUAGAUUGGAAACUUAGUCAACAAGUUAACCAUGUAUGUAAUGUAUUAGUAGGUUGUAGAAUAAGCUAACUAUGUAGCGCCCAUAUAGAAAACUUGCCUUACAAGUCAAAAUACGUAUCAUACAAAGUCAACAUGUUUUUAGAAGUCCUAUAGAAUGUUGCCACAUAAAUCUUAGAUAAAUAGUAUAUAUCGAAGUAAGAGUGAAGCCUUCUCCACUCUUGUCAAUUCUUUUUUUGCUUCUAAUCUAGAUUCAAGAGUCUCUAGUUUCCUUGUCUUUUGGUAAUAGCCAUUCCAAUUUCUUUUUAAUAUACAUACUUCUUUAUUUCUAUUUUGUCACUUUUUUUUUUACUUAGAUUUUACAGGUCUAUGCAUCUUCUUCAAUUCAUGUCAUUGACAAAUUUCUAAGAGUACAUUUAUAAUAUUAGAGCUUUAUCUUAUCUUGAUUAAGAGUAGAUUAUUCCUUUCUUUCAAUAAGAAAUAAGCAUAUUAGAGGUUGCAGAUUAUGCUCUUCUAAAUUAAUAUUGUUCUAGGUAUUUUUUUUAUUUUUAAGUCCUUUUUUUUGCUUAUCUUGAGAAAUAUAAGAUUUUUUUUUGUAAAUAUUAUCAUGGCAGAGCUUCUUGAAAUAAAAAGUGCAAUGACACAAAUGCAAGAGAAAUUGAAAGAUUUGAUGCUUGCUAUGCAUCAACUCAGUUUAUUGCCACUGAGAAUAACAAAAAUGACAAAAAGUGAAGAUAUAGACAUGAUUGGAGCCACUUCAACAUCUACUCUAAAUCACACUUCUUCUUUUAUAAUAGAACAUCCUUUCAAUAUUAGAGAAUCCAAAGUUGUCUUAUCUAUUUCUAUAAGAGGAGGUGGAUUUGUCUUCUUUUCAAGUUAUUCAUUGUUUUAUAUGGCUCAAAAAGAGAUACAUGAAAUAUAGGAUGAAUCUUCAUAGACUAUGGUAGAUGUAAUCAAUAAGCAAUAAGAUUGACUUAUUCACAAAUAAAAAAAAAUCUAUGUCUUUAAUAGUCCAACUUAUCACAAAGAUAAGUAGUCUUGAUAUUACAAGGGAGUAAUCAUAUAUUGUCAUCUACAUUGAAUUAUGGUUUUUCUUUAUGAUAGACAUCUACAUUGAUCUUUUCUCAUUCUUGAGCUCUUUUUAACUAUGCCUUCAUUGUUGCAUGUAACUCUGAUAAAUGAUUUGCCAAAUCUUUUGCCACAAGCUUAUUAACUUUUAAAAAAUUAAAGAUAUGAAGUUAUGGAUAAUAGCCAUAAUUAAAAAAUAAAGGUGUUUAUUAUAUUAAAAAAAGUAUUAAAUUAUUAUAUGCAAACUUUAUCAAUGGUAAAUAAAUUUUUCAAUCAUCUUAAUGAUAAUUAAUGGUAUACCUCAAGUAUUUCUUUAGAAUUUAAUUCACCUAUUUUGUUUGUAUAUUAGUUUAAAAAUAAAAGCCAAAGGGAGCUUUAUAUCCACUUUUAAAAUCUCCAAAGGCUUCUCUAAAAUCUUGAUAUAAAUUGAGUUCCUCUAUUUGAUAUAAUAUCCCUUGAUAAUCCAUGAUAGUGAUAGAUAUUAUCAAGAAAAAUCUUAGCCAUUUUUUUACAUAUAAUAUAUUUUGUACAUAGUAUAAAAUAAUCCAUCUUUAUAAAAUGAUCUAUUGUUACAAAUAUAAAAUUAUAUAAACCUAAGAUUAGAAGAUCUGUAAUAAAAUCUAUAGAAAUAAAAGACCAUGAUUGUUUUAAAAUAGAUAAUGGCUAAAGAAGUUCAUAAGGUUGAUGGCGAGGAAUUUUAGAUCUUAAAAAAAUAUUAUAUAAUUGUAUAAAAUCUUUGAUUGCCUUCCCCAUUUGAGGCCACCAAAAGUCUCUUGAUGUUAGCUCCAAAAUCUUAUUGUAUCCAAAAUGUCUAGCUAUUAGAACAUCAUGAAAAGCUUGAAAAAUACAAAAUUGUAUCCCACCUUUUGGAAUGUAUAAUUCUCCAUCAAAAUAAAGUAGGUUGCUUUUAAACUAAAACAUGGAAGUAUCAUGAGAUUUAGAAGAAUUAUUCUUGAUAUCAUAGACAAGAAGAUCAAAAGACAUAUUUGAUUGAAUUUUCUUGACAAAAGUUAAAUCCAUAGUCAAUUUUGAUUUUAUUGCUUAAAGGUGAAAAUGAUCUAGUUUCAAAAAAAAUAUUCUUUGUUAAUCAAAAGAAGCAUUUUUUUUAUGCAAGUUAAAAAUAUUUUAAAAGAGCAUUCAAUAAACCUUGUUAUUUUUUAAGUCGAUAAGUGAUUUUGAAAUCAAAACUUGAUAAAGACAUGUUCCAACAAGCUUCGUGAUGAUUCAAAAAACGUGAUGACAUGAAGUACUCAAGGUUCUUGAAAUUCGUAUACAUGGUGUCAUAUUGUGGUUUGGCUAUUAUGUGAAAAUAAUACACAUAUAUAUUUAAUAUAUGAUUUAUUAUAUAAUGUAGUGAGAGGCAUGUUAUUAGAUUUUAGUUGGUUACAAAAUGUGAUUAGAUUACUAUUUUGAAGUAGUUAUUUUAAAAUGACUAUUAUUAAAGUUGAUUUUAUACUGAUAAUAGUUUUAUAUAUUCAGAGCUACUUUUAUUAGAUAUUGACAACUCUUAAAAUAUUAUUAUAUUUCUUUUAUUUGAUGUUUAGGGCAUAUAUUAUAUAAAUCUUAUAAGAAAAAGAGUUGAAAGAGGUUUUGAUAGCAAAAAAAGUAGUUAAGACAUCUUUAUAGAUGAAUGGAGAUGGAUGAUAAGAAUCUCUAUUGCUAUUGGCCAAAAGGCAUGCCUAAUGAGCUUCAAGGAGGCUGCCUAAGGCCUUAUCAAUAAUUAGGAUUAUUAUUUUGAAGGAAUUCAAAUGUAAGAAACUAGGAUUAGAAACUUUAGGUUUUUGGCUAUGGUUUUGGUACAAAUUUUGUGUAAUUUGGAGUUUUUAUGAAAGUGAUAUAGGCAUUGUAUUGAUUUUCUAUCUACUAUCAUUCUUUUAAACAUAACGCACACAUACAAAAAGUAAUGAAGGAUCAGCAACUAAGAUUAAAGAAAGCACUUUUUUGGCUAUAUUUUUUAUAUAAUCUUUAAUAAAUUCUAAGCUAAGAUGAAGGAAUUAUAAAAAGUUGAUGUCAACACUUGCAAUCUAAGGAUAGUAAGUAACUUAAUUUACUAAUGGUUAUGUUUUGAGCUAUAACUUAAGCAACUUGAUAAGAUUUUAGCCAAAGAUUUCUAAGAAUGUAUAUUAUCAUAUUGCUAAACUUUUUUUGUAGUAAAGCUUAAGAAUAAAUUCUACAACAUCUAGAUAUUUGAGAAAAAAUGAGUAGUUGAAUCAAGAGAGUUAAAUUUCUAAAGUUUGAGGGAAAAAAAUCUUUUAUGGAGGAAAAAUAUUUUAAAAAUAUUUUACUAUAUUUUGGAUAUUUUAUACAAAAUAAAAGGAGUCUUGAGUGCCAAGACUUUAUAUAUAUGUUGAAGAUAGAGAUAUAGAACUAUAGCAAAAUUAUGAUAUAAAAAUGGAUUUUUGUAAGAAGAUUAUAGAUUUUCUUUAAGCUUAUUAGAUUUCAUGCUUAUUAACAAAUGAUUUAAUUAUGAUUCGAUAUAGCAAAAAAUGUUACAAAAUUUCUAAAUACUUUAAAAAUCCUUAUGUAUAAAGCUUUUCAAAUAUAAAAGAAUUUUAUCAAUAGAAUAUCUUUUGAUGUUAUUAUAUUUAUUUGGCCUUUAUAAUAAGAAUAAAUUAUUUAUUAGAACUUAUCUAAUAAAAUAAAGCUAAAUUUUCUACAACUAAGUAUCCGGUACAUUCCCAAAUAAAAAAUCAUUCUUCACAACAAUUAUAACUAGACUCAAAGUGCCUUCUAAAUAAUAAUGCCGUUUUUAAAAUGAAUCUACAAGAGCAAGGAACUCUUUGUUAUGGAUGUCAUAAUUAAUCUUGGUUGCUAAAAAAAUUCAGAAAUGAAAAGCUACUAAAUGGAGUUUAUUAUCUACUCCUAUUUGUAUCUUAAUGAAGAUCUAAUUCUUAAUGAAGAUCCAAAUAGUAAUUACUAUUAUACAUCUUUAAUUUUUCUUUGAAUCUUCUAAUCUAUGAUAGUCUAGACCUUCUUUGAAUCCAUCAUUAGACCUUUGUUGGAAAUAAUGUAUCUUAAGAAGUCAAUUUGAAUAGUUUAGAAUAUACACUUUUUUAACUUGGCAUAUAAUUAUGUAUCUUUAAAUUUUUAUAACACAUAAUGAAUAUAAACUUUAUGAUCUUCUAUAUUCUUAGAGUAGAUUAAGUUGUUGUCUAAAUAAUAAAUGACAAAACCAUCAAGAAACUCACAAUAGACAUCAUUCAUUAGAUAUUAAAAAGCAACUAGUAUAUUUAUAAGUCCAAAAGCCAUGACAUUAUAUUCAAAAUGCUCAUACUUGGUUUAAAAUAUAGUUUUCUAUUCAUCUCUUUUUUUAAUUUAUAUUAAAUCAUAUGCUCCUUAUAGAUCUAUUUUUAUAUAGAUCAUUGCUUAAUUGAAUUGAUCAAAAAGUUUUGAAAUCAAAGAUAGAGGAUACUUAUUCUUGAUGGUAAUCUUGUUGAGUCCUCAAUAGUUGUGAUUCUUUUUUUACUUACUCUAGACUAAUCUAAUCAGAAUAAACUUAUAUAGAGCAAUUCAAAUAUGGAAAAAGACUAUUUGCAUGAGUUUUCAUAUAAAGGUCAGACAAUUAACUAUCUCUUGAUCAACUAAAAUAUCCAGGAAUGCUAUAUGUCUUUUGCAUUCUAUCAAAGAAAAUAUUGCAAUUGAUAAUUCUAUCUUAUCUAUUCACUAUCUCAUCUCUUUUUCAAACUAAUGUCAAUAAUAGAUAAUACUAUACUAUCUUAAAAUACUGUAUAAAAUAUUUCAUAAUGCAAUCUUUGAAAUUCUCCAAAACUAACUAUCAUCUCCAGUAAUCUAUUUCAUACAAUUCUAGACUCCAUAGACUUCUUCUUAAAUCUCAAUAUUCAAUGUAUUAUAAUUCUCUCAAUUAUAUCUAUACUUCACAAACAUCUUCAAUCAUCAACUUUCCAAUCCUUUACUGAUAAUUCAGCAUACAAUAUAUUCAAUUUCUCAUUUAACAUCAUCUAUAUCAAAUCUUUCCUUCAUUCUAGAAUUUCACUUCAUAUUAUUCAAAUUCUAUCCAUUACUCUUCUUCUACAAGAAAACAAAGAAACAAAGAUGUAGCACUAAGCUUAUCCUAGCUCAUGAUUAUCACAGUUUGGCCUUUUCUUCUUCUUCUUCAAACUACUUAUGUUUUUCUUCAAAAUGCUAACCACUACACAAUUGAUGAUAAUUACUUUUUUUGACUACAUCAUCCAUCAUGCCUUCUUAAUUAUCCAAUCAUUAGUUUAUUAGCUUCUCUUAAACCUACAUACUAUGUAUUAUAAAAUAAAAAAUAUCUCACCCAUUCUACAAUAGUCAACAUAUAUUUGUAGAGAUCCAAUUUUUUUUCUUAACAAAUAAGAUAGGAGCCCUAGUUGGAGAUUUUAAAUGGCAUAAGAAAUUCUUAGCCAAAUUCUCAUCAAUGUAUUCUUUAAGAGCGGUCAACUAGUUUCAUAAUAGGUUAUAGAUUGGUCUAAAUGGUGGUUGAGCUCUUUCUUAAAGAUCAAUAGAACAAUCAAAAGGAUGAUGUUUUAAAAGAUUAUCUACAUUUUUUUUUUCAAAAAAAUCUUGAAAAUCUUAAUACUAGCUAAGAAUAUUAUUUGAAGUCUUUCUACCAUCAAAAAUAAGCAUGGCAUAUAUAAAAAAAGAUGAUCCUUCUUUUUGUGGCAUGCAUGAAAGCUCUUGCACCAACCUAUAAGGAUUUGGAUAUACUAGACUUAUAUAUUUUUAUUUAACUAAUGAGAUUUUAGAUUAAACUAUCAAAAAAAUUAAAAUUAUAAAAAAUCCAAUUUAUUUGAAGAUUAUAUUUUUUUAAGUAAGAUAAUCCUAAUAUAAUCCAAUUAAACAGAGAUUUUAUUACAUUAAGUAUUACUAUACUAUUAUAAUCUUUAAUUGCUACAUCUAAAGGAACAAUCUCAUGUAUAAUAUUUGUAGAAGAUAGCAAAUGACCAUCUAUGACUUCUAUAUGUAAAGAUUUAAUUUUCUUCAUUAACAAUAUCUCUUAUUUUUUGACAAAAUCUUCAUCUAUAAAAUAGGUUAAGGCUCCUAAAUCUAAUAAAGCUAAGAUUUUUUGAUUUUUUGGUGCUAAAUAAAGUUCUAUUGUAAAACAAGGUGAAGGGUCUGAGGAGAAAAUAUGACCUUUAUUAGAAAUUACACAAGAUUUCAAUUGCAUGGUCUUCAUCAUAGUUGGAAAAACUUUUUUUUUGACAUAUUGUCUUCUUUUGCAACCAUAAUUUUCAUUUUCUAGUUGUGUUUUUUCCUUGGAAAAUAUUGAGUACUAUGUUUAGCUUCUCCAUAAUGUAAACAUAAGCCUUUUUGACAUUUUUGAAUCUUUUUUUGUUGAGUGACGGAUUUAAAAUGUACCAUAUUACUUUAUAUUGGUUCUUGCCUUCAUGAAUAAGUUUCUAAAAACUUGAGAGUUGUUGUCAUUAUUUGAUUUGUUCUUCUCCAGCUAAGUUUUUGUUCUUGACAACUUUCAAAUAAUCAAUUUUUGCAUAUAGUAGCUUGAGCAAUAAAUUGUUUCAAAGAUUUUUCCUUUGGCAUUGUCAAUAAUAAAUCUUUGACAUUAUCCUUCAACCUAUAUUGAAAUUGAUUGGUAAAGGCUUUGUCAUUCCAAUCUAUAUUGCAAGUAAGAUUUUGGAAUUUAACAGUAUAUAUGAUGCCUAACCGUGAUCUUUAUUGUGAAGAUAAGAGCUUAGUUUUUACUACUUCUUUUUGCUCACUCUCUCCAAAUAUAGCUGUAAACACUUCUAAGAAUGAAUUCAAAUAAUAAAAGAGUUGAAAAUAUUUUUUAUUAAAGAUGCAAAUCAAGAAAGAGCAUUUCUUGAUAGAAGUAUGCCUAUGAAUCUGACUUAAGUAAAUCCAUUAAUGUAUUAAAAGAGAUACAACCUUAGAUAGAACUUCACUUAUUGCAAAAAUCCUCAAAUUUUUGAUCUUGUUCCUUCAAACUUCUCACACAUAUUAAUCCUUGUCCUUAUCAUACUUAUAGAAGUAAACUUUUUAAAUUUGGUUAAAAAGUCGAUCUACUUACUUUCUUCAAUUGUACAAUUUCUUGACGUAAACUUUGAAUUUUUUUCAUAGACAUAGGAAUAAUACCUCUAUGAUUCAUGUUGAAAAUACAUUAAAUUUUUAUUCUUAGAAUAUUAAAAAGCUCGUGAAGAUCUGUAAUAGUUAAAAAAUUAUUCUUACUUCUAAAAUAAGAUAAAAAUAAUAAGUUAGUACUCUUAUCAAAUUAUCAAGGACAUGAAUCUUGAAAAAAAUAAACCUUAAUAUACUCUUGUGUCACUCAAAAGAACUAGAAAGUCACUCAAAGAUGAUAUGAUAUUAAAUUAGAAUAGCUAUUAUCAAAGAUAAAAAGAUUAAAAAGUCUUAAAAUAAGAUUAAAGAAUAGUAAGGCAUUGACAAGAGUGAAGAAGGCUUAAGAUUAUAUAUGCCUCCAUAUAUAAUUUUAACUAGGAACUAUGUGGCAAUAUCCUAUAGGACCUCCAAAGCAUGUUGAUUUUGUAAGACACGUAUCUUAACUUGCAUGGCAAGUUUUCUAUAUGUAGACCAUACAAUUAACUUGUUCUAUAAGCUACCAAUUCAUGGUUAAUUUUUUGACCAAGUUCCUUAUCUAUCAAUCAAUUAUAAACACAUAUAAAGUCAAAACAAUAUUUAUGAAGCUUCCAAAAAGCUUCUCUAGAAAAUAUUAUGAAAAUAUAUUAUUUUUACUUAUUUCUAUUUAAUCAUAUAGAUUAAUAUUAGAAUAAAUAUGUAUGUUCAUAGCAACUUGCUACAUUCUUAGAUAAAUGUAUAGUAAUAUUUGCAUUUAAUUUAAAACCACAUAAGUCUAAAAGCUUCAAAAGUUCUUACAAGCUUUAAAAUUGAGUCAACUUGGACUUUAACUUGGUCUUCCAAGUCUUCCAAGUAUUAUAAGUUCUAGAUCCAAAUCAAAUAUUAAUGGGCUCCACAAAAUAAUACAAGUGGGUAUUUUAUUGCAAAAGAAUUCUUGUAGUUCUACUAGAAUCACAAGAUAUAUUAAACAAAAUCACAAGAUAUACUUCUAUUGUCAAGGACAAGAACUCGAUGAAAAAGUAAUUCAGACAAGUGAGCCUUUACUCAAAGAAAGGUAACAAAAUAUAAAUAAAUAAAUAUGUAUAUUGAAAGAGAAACUAGAAUGGCUAUUGCCAAAAGUCAAGAAAACUAGAGACCCUUGAAUCUAGACUGAAAGCAAGAAAAGAGUUGAUAAGAGUGAAGAAGGCUUCACUCUUGUCUCUAUAUAUAUUAUCUAACUAGGGGCUAUGUGGCGACAUUCUAUAGGACCUCCAAUAUGUGUUGACUUUGUAGGACACAUGCCUUGACUUACAAGGCAAGUUUUUCUACGUGUGGGCUACAUAGUUAGCUUGAUCUUCAAGCUAACAAUAUGUGUGGCACAUGGCCAACUUGUUGACCACGUUUCUAAUCCAAAAAGUCAAUUAAAGACACCUGUGAAGUCAAAGAAGUGUCUAUGAAGCUUUUGGGAAGCUUCCAUAUUAAAUACUACAGAAUUAACUUACUUUUAUCUACUUUUACUUACUUCCACCUAUUUGUAUAUGUAAGUACUAGCUUACAUGAGUAUGUCCAUGACAUUAUCCUCCCUUCUAGGGAUGCGUUCCAUGAGGAGCGAUCACCAUAUGUUGAGAAAAUCUAUGAUGCAACGAAUUGUAUUUGCCACAUACUCUAAUCUUUGUUCUCUUCGAAGAUGAUUGAUAGGGCCUUUCAACCAUUGGUAGUCUCCCAUACUAGGGCGGGAAGACCACCCAAUUAUUUAAUCAUUAUUGAGGCCUUCAUAACUUCUUUCGAAUAGAACAUUUGAAACACCAUCAAGAGUUGUUCCUACCUCUAGCAAAAACACCAAACAUCGAGAGUUCUUUUCCAAAUCGUGAUACCAAACGUAUUGUAUCUCGCCAUCUAUUCGAGGAAGAACAUAUCAUUCUUGAAGAUCUUCAUCUCGAUUGUGUCGUCUUGAAGGUUGUGAUAAUCAUAAUAUCUCGUCUGGUGUCGUAUUACGUGCUUUCUUGCUCGAGAACGCACCGGACGUCUUGCUGUAGAAAGUAGUAUGGAGAUUCGCUAAUAUUCAAGCAGUUUAUCGGUUUUUGAUUAUUGAAAUAUAAACGAUUCCAAGAAUAUAUCAUAAAUCUAUACGCAUGUCCUUCGAUUACUUGCCAAAAUCCAUUUAUCCCAGCCGGUAGGUCUCUAAACAUUACAGAGAACCCCAAACAACCCAAUCUGCUAAUCUCCGAUACCGCUUUAUACUCACGACCUUGUAUCCACUGACUGUCUUGUUAGAUUAACCCAAAAAUUUUCAUUCACUCCGCAUACUCAAUCCUAUAGACACCUUUUUAAUUCUUCAAUCACAGACAUAACUUCGAUUUCACAAAACACUCAAGAGUAAUCACACUCACUUCAUUAAAACCCCGAUUCACCAGUACAACACAUUGACCUUUCAGCAUUGAUUGCCAGAAGUCUUCCCAAAAUCCUAUGAAGAAAAAAAAACUCCAAUUCUCUGUCUUUUCUCCCCAGAAGCAUGAAGCUAGCUCUCCCCCCUUAAAACCCUGAUUCUUUCCUCCUUCAUUUCUUAACCUAUCCUCUCCUUUAAUCCUAAUUCUCCCUUCUUUCAAACCCUAGCCUCUGAAUUUCUUCAAUCUUUCAUCUUGGAUCUAAAAUUGGCUCUGCCAUCAAAACUUUCUCCUCUCUUUUUUACCUUUUAAAAGGUUCUUUUUUCCAGAAACAACAUUCUCUGAAACGGCACAGAGAACAGGACAACCUAAAACAGAAUCAAAACCCCCGUAAUUGGGACCACAUAGAGUGGCGCGACCAAUUCAGGUCUCAUAUUGGCUAAGAGGCCCGUAGUAAGACCUGGAUGUUUCCGUAAUUGGGUCAAAUUGGUCCUUCGCAUCAGGCUUGCUCAGUCAUCGAUUUAAUCCUUUCAAUUCUGUUGACUCCCACUAUUGGACUCGAAUGGAGUAUUUCGUUACUGAUAAGUGUGCCCUGACCGACUAUGACGGGGUGUCUGAAACUGGCCCCUGAAUAUUGGCACUGGAAUUAGUCGUUGCUCCCAAUAUUUGAGGUAACUAAACAUUAAUAAAAGUUCCCUUUCUUUAUAUUUUCAUGGUAUACUCAUGUUACAACACGACAUCCACCCCCUCUGAACUUGUGCAUCCUCCGGUAUGCACCAAUUUACCCAAUUGCUGUUUGAUUUAUAAUAUAUUCUCUACGUCUUUGUCCAGUUCAUCUUCGUCACCUUCAUUAUCCAAAUCACUUUCAUCUUCUUGUUGCAUACCUAACUUGCAUAAUUCUCCUUCAAUAUCAUAUAAUCUUUUUCUUUCUUUUCUUUUAAAAUCAUCAACUUUCUUAUACAUAAUAUUUCCAUUCUCCAAAAUACCAAUAAAACUCGCAUCAAAGGCACCUUCAUCUCGCAAGAGUACCUCCUCUUUUGUACCUCCAUAAUCUCGCUUUAUAGUGGAAUUGGCUCUACCGUCAGAGCUUUCUCCUCCAUUCUUUGCCUUUUAAAAGGUUCUUUUUUUCAGAAACAAUGUUCUCUGAAACAACACAGAGAACAGGACAACCUAAAAUGGAAUCGAAACCCCCGUAAACGAGACCACAUUGAGUGGCUCGACCAAUUUAGGUCUCAUAUUGGCUAAGAGGCCCGUAGUAAGACUUGGAUGUUCCCGUAAUUGGGUCAAAUUGGUCCUUCGCGUCAGGUUUGCUUAGUCAUCGAUUUAAUCCUUUCAAUUCUGUUGACUCCCACUAUUGGACUCGAACGGAGCAUUUUGUUACUGGUAAGUGUGCCCUGAUCAAUUGUGAUGGGGUGUUUGAAAUUGGCCCCUGAAUAUUGGCACUGGAAUCGGUCAUUGCUCCUAAUAUUCGACGUAACUGAACAUUAAUAAAAGUCUCCUUUCUUUAUAUUUUCAUAGUAUACUCAUGUUACAAUACGACACCGAUAAGUCAGCAAAUGAAGGCUCUUGAGUCAAAUCCGCUGGUUGUUGGUUCUCCAUCUCCUGAACAUCACAACUACAAAGAAGCUACAAACAAGGAUUGAAAGUAGAAUGUUAUCUUGCCUAGAUGUUGUUUCUUUUAUAAAGAAGGUUUUCAUCUUGAUUUUGAUGGAUGUCGUCAAUGAAAAGCCUCCACCACCUUUAUUGCAUUUAUAAGAUUCUUUAUUGGCUCCCAUGUGCAUUCACUAAUACCAUAUCCGUGCCAAUAGACCAGAUAUUUCAAUUUAUUUCGACGUCGCCUUGAAUCUAAGACUUCUUCUACUUCAAACUCUUCAUUAUUGUCCACUUCUAUAGGAGGAGGUGGAGCUUGUCGUCUUCUUGGUAUGUCUACUAUCUUGUAUGAUUCAAGAAGAGAUACGUGGAAUACUCGAUGGAUUUUUAUUGACUCCAAUAGAUGUAAACGACAUGCAACUGGAUUGAUUUGUGUAGAAAUAGAAAAUGGUCCUAGUCUUCGAUAGUCCAACUUGUCACAAGAACGAGUGGUCUUGAUAUUGCGACAAAGUAGCCAUACCUUAUCACCCAUGAGGAAUGGUGGUUGUUCCUUUCGAUAGACAUCCGCAUUGACAUUUUGUUGUUCUUGAGCCUCUUUUAACUACGCCUUCAUCAUUGCAUGUAGCUCUGAUAAAUGAAUCGCCAAAUCUUUUGCAGCAUGAUUAUCAACUUUUGAAAAGUCAAAAGUAUCAAGUCGUGGAUGAUAAUCAUAAUUAGCAAAGAAAGGUGUUUAUUUUGUAGAAAAAUGUACCCUGUUAUUGUAAGCAAACUCUGCCAAUGGCAAAAGAAUUGUUCAAUCAUCUUAUUGGUAGUUAAUAGUACAACUUAAAUAUUGCUCCAAAACUUGAUUAACAUGCUCCGUUUGUCCAUCGGUUUGAGGAUGGAAUGUCGAAGAUAGUUUUAUAUCCACUUUUAGAAUCUUGAAAAGAGUCCGCCAAAAUCUUGAUACAAAUUGAAUUCCCUUAUCUAAUAUAAUAUCCUUGGAUAAUCCAUGAUAGCGAUAGAUAUUGUCAAGAAAGAGCUUAGCUAUUUCUUCACCUGUGAUAGAUUUUGUACAUGGUACAAAAUGUGCCAUGUUGGUAAAAUGAUCUACUAUCACGAAUAUAGAAUCAUAAGAACCUGAGAUUGGAAGACCCGUGAUGAAGUACAUAGAAACAGAAGACCAUAGUUGUUCUGGAAUGGACAAUGGCUGAAGAAGUCCAAAAGGCCAAUGACGAGGAGUUUUUGAUCUUGAGCAAACAUCACAUGAUUAUACAAAAUCUUUGACUGCCUUUCACAUUUGAGGCCACCAAAAAUCCCUAGAUAUCAGUUCCAAAGUCUUAUUAUAUCCAAAAUAUCAUGCUGCUGAGAAGUCGUGACGAGCUUGAAGAAUACGUAAACGUGCUUCUCCUUCUAGAACAUAUAGGCGUCCUUCAAAAUAGAGUAGGUUGUUCUUGAAUUCAAAUUUAGAGGGAUCAUGAGAUUUAGAAGAAUUAUUCUUGAUAUCAUGAACAAGAGAGUCUGAAGACAUACUUAACUGGACUUUCUUAAAAAAAGUUAAAUCAACAAUCAAUGUUGAUUUUAUUGCUCGAAGAUGAAAUUGCUCUGACUUCAAGAGAAUCGUUCUUUGUUAUUCAAAAGCUGCAUCUCUUUCUUUUGGUCUAAGAUAAGAACGUCUAGACAAGGCAUCGGAUAAAUCUUGUUGUUUUCUUGGCCGAUAAGUGAUGAUGAACUCGAAUCUUGAUAAAGACAUGCUCCAAUAAGCUUGAUGAUGAUUUAAUACGCGUGUUGACAUAAAAUAUUCGAGGUUCUUAUGAUCCGUAUACACGAUGACUGAAUUGGAAGCGCCUUCUAGAUAAUGACGCCAUUCUUGAAAAGAAUCCACAAUUACAAGAAGUUCUUUGUCAUGGAUCUCAUAAUUGAUUUUUGCUACUGAGAAUUUUCUUGAAUGAAAAGCUACUGGAUGAAGUUUUUCAUCUGUUCUCAUUUGUGAUAAAAUCGCACCCAGAGCAAAGUCUGAUGCAUUUGUUUCUAUAAAGAAUGCUUUGGAAAAAUCAACACUAUAUAAGAUUGGUACAGAAACAAACACUAUCUUCAAAGAUUCAAAAGCAACUUUUGCUUCUUGAUUCCAUUCGAGUUUGUUUUUAUUAGUCAAAUGUGUAAGUAGAACUGCAACUCGAUAGAAGUCUUUCAUGAAGAUCCGAUAGUAGUUGGCAAAUCCCAAAAAACAUUGAACAUCUCUUACCAUUUUUUGGAUCUUCCAAUCUAUAAUAGUUUGAACUUUCUUAGGAUCUAUCAUAAGUCCAUCAUUUGAAAUGAUGUAACCUAAAAAAUCGACUUGAGUAGUAUAGAAUACACACUUUUUCAUCUUGGCAUAGAGUCUUGCAUCUCUUAAUUUUUGUAACACACGACAAAUAUGAAGUUCAUAUUUUUUUGGAUUCUUAGAAUAGAUCAAGAUGUUGUCUAGAUAAUAGACCACAAAAUCGUCCAAAAACUCUCGAAAAACAUCAUUCAUUAGAUGUUGAAAAGCUGCUGGUACAUUUGUAAGUCCAAAAGGCAUGACGUUGUAUUCAAAAUGUCCAUACCUAGUUUGAAACGCAGUCUUCCAUUCAUCUCCUUCUUUGAUGCGUACUAGAUUGUAUGCUCCCUGAAGAUCUAUUUUUGUAUAGAUCUUAGCUUGAUUCAGCUGAUCAAAAAGUCCAGAUAUUAAAGGUAGUGCAUACAUGCUCUUGAUGGUAAUCUUCUUGAGUCCUCGAUAAUCAACACACAUCUACAAUGAUCCAUCUUUUUUCUUCACAAAUAGAAUUGGAGCUCUUGUCGGAGAUUUAGAAUGGUGUAUGAAAUUCUUGGCUAGAUUUUCUUCAAUAUACUCCUUGAGUUCAGUCAACUCAUUUUAUGAUAAACUGUAGAUUAUUCCGAAUGGCGGUUGUACUCCUUCUUGAAAGUCAAUUGAGUAAUCAUAGGGACGAUGUUCCGGGAGUAUAUCUGCAUUCUUUUUUUUGAAUACAUCUUGAAAUUCUUGAUAUUGGCGUGGAAUGCCACUUGAAGUCUUUUCACCAGUAGAAACAGGUGUGGCAUAAAUAAUAUAUGGUGAUUCUUUCAUAGCAGCAUGCAAGAAAGCUUUUGUACUUAUAAAUACGGGUUUAAUUGAACUGUACUUAUGACUCUCUACUUGAUAAACAACACUGUUAGUUAUAGUUUUAGAGAAAGUAAGACUUUGGGAAAUCCAAUCUAUUUGAAGGUUGUAUUUUUCCAACCAUGAUAAACCUAAAAUGACUAGAUUAGAGGGAGAUCUAAUGAUAUUAAAUACUACAAAACUAUUAUGACUAUUGAUUAUUACUUCUAUAGGAAGGGUUUUGUGAGUAAUAUCUCCAGAAGACAAUGGACGACCAUCUAUGACUUCUACAUGAAUAGAUUUAGUUUUCUUUACUAAAGAUAUGCUAUGUCUUUUAGUAAAUUCUUCAUCUAAAAAACAUGCUGAGGCUCCUGAAUCUAACAAAGCAGAGACUUUGUAAUGUUUAGGUCCUAAAAUAAUAUUUAAUGUAAAACAAGGAGAGGGCUCUGAGGAGAGAAUAGGACCUUUAUUAGAUGUUGUGCAAGGUUCCAUCCGCAUGGUUCCUAUUAUAGUUGGACAAACUCGUUUUCCGACAUAUUGUCUUCUUUCACAGCCAUACUCCUUAUUUUGUGAUUGUGUCAUUUUUUUAGACAAUGUUGAGCAGUGUGCUUUGGUUCUCCACAAUAUAAACAUAAUCCUUCUUGACGACGACGAGUUUUUUCUUGCUCUAUAAGAGGUUUGAAACUUACUGCAUCAAUUUACAUAUCCUCUACUUCUGAAUGUAUGUGUUGAAGAGGUGUUGGUGUUGCCAUUGAAUUAUAGUAACAUUGAGGUCCACUUGUACGGUUCUCAGAUCGGAAUUCAAAAAGGUGAUUGUCCCACUUCAUAGCAAAGUCAAUUGUUUGACUCAAUGUUUGAGGAUCAGGUAAGUUGAGCAUUAACUUUUUUACCUCAUAUUGUAAUCCGUAGAAAAAUUGGCUAAUAAGUGCAGCAUCAUCCCACUUGAUAUCAAUUACAAGUUGUCAAAAUUAUAAAGCAUACAAUAUUACUAAUCGAUUGUCUUGUCAUAAAAUAUGGAUCUUAUUGGUUGCAACACGAAUUGCAUCAUGUUGUCCAUAUAUGGAUCGAAACUCUACCAAAAAAGCCUCUAGAUUAUCUAAUAUUGGAUCUCGUCGUUCAAGAAAAGAUGAAAACCACAAUAGUGCUGAACCUGAAAGAAGCGUACCAAUGAAUCUAACUUGUGAUCUUGGAGUUGGAUAGCUUUGGGAUUGAAGUUCAAUCACAAGUUGCACUUGAUUGAUAAAUCCUCGAAACUUGAAUCUAGUGCCAUCAAACUUCUUGGGUAGGACAAUUUUUGGUUCUCUAAUAUUUGAAGGGCGUUCCACCAUAGGAGAAAGGACAUGGUUUGGUGCAGAUGUUGAUGCAGCUCCAACCAUUUCUAUAUCUUCACUUCCUACCAAUCUUGUUGCUCCUUGUGGUGGUAAAUUGAGUUGAUGCAUUGCAAGCAUUAACUCCUUCAAUUGUUCUUAUAUUUGUGCCAUUGCACUCUUCAUUUCAACAAGUUUUGCCAUAAUAACACUUAGAAGAGAGAAGAUGUCUAAUAUUGCUCAAGACAAAUAGAAGAGAGGAAUUGGGAACAAAGAAAAUACUAAGAAAAAUAUUAGUUUAGAAGAGGGUAAUCCACAACUUCUAAUAUGCUUAUAUCUUAUCAAGAAAAAGAGGUAAUCCACUCUGAAUCAAAAUUAGACAAAGCUCUGAUAUUGUAGGUGUAUUCUUGUCAAUUUGUCAAGGACAAGAACUCGAUGAAAAAGCAAUUCAGACAAGUGAGCCUUCACUCAAAGAAAGGUAUUAAAAUAUAAAUAAAUAAGUAUGUAUAUUUAAAGAGAAACUAGAAUGGCUAUUGCCAAAAGUCAAGAAAACUAGAGACCCUUGAAACUAGACUAAAAGCAAGAAAGGAGUUGACGAGAGUGAAGAAGGCUUCUCUCUUGUCUCUAUAUAUAUUAUCUAACUAGGAGCUACGUGGCGACGUUUUAUAAGACCUCCAAUUUGUGUUGACUUUGUAGGACACAUGCCUUGACUUACAAGACAAGUUUUUCUACGUGUGGGCCACAUAGAUAGCUUGAUCAUCAAGCUAACAACAUGAGUGGCACAUGGCCAACUUGUUGACCACGUUUCUAAUCCAAAAAGUCAAUUAAAGACACCUAUGAAGUCAAAGAAGCAUCUAUGAAGCUUUUGGGAAGCUUCCAUAUUAAAUACUAUAGAAUUAACUUACUUUUACCUACUUUUACUUACUUCCACCUAUUUGUAUAUAUAAGUACUAGCUUACAUGAGUAUGUCCGUGACAUCUACAGAGUAAAAACAAUUUAUGUCAAAGCAAAACUAUAAUAUCAUUUAUCACGAUGGAUUAUACAAGGUUUUGAAUAAUUGCACAUUCAUUUCAAACUGGCAUUGGUAUACAUAUUUGUUAUUUCUACAAAAGUAUAUUUUAUUUCUUUUAUAUCAUUCUAAAAUUAAAAAAUAUUUUUAAAAAUAUUAUUAAAUAAGAAUUAUAAGAAUAAAUAAUAGAGAUAUUAUAUUUAUAAGAGAAUAAAUAUAAAAAACCAUGUAUGUAUAUAUAUAUAUAUAUAUAGACACCUAGCUACUCCAAACUCUGAAUACUUUGAGUAGUUGGUUCCAUUAAUUUGCAUGAGAUGUAGAACCUAUGGGCACAAUUACCUAUGCACACCAUUUUUACAGGCCUCCUAUGUCGGGAUUUUGAAGCAUAUCUUUUGACAAUCCGUUAUUGUAACUUCUACAUAAACCUUAACAAUAAAUAGAAAAAAAAAUAGAAAAAAAAAAAAAAAAGAAAAAAAAAAAACAUGUCACCUAUAUCUGAUGGACCUCAUAUCAAACGCAAUAAUUGUAAGCUUUGUAUUGGCCAAUAUUUUUGGUGUACGUCACACCAGAAUCUAAAGUCGAGUCCCAUAACAUGAAUUGGUCGAAAUGCUCCAACAGGCUCUGCGGAUACACCCACGAGAUCCUUCGAUAAAUCCUAAACCCAGUAAGGACAGGGUAUAUUGAUCGGGGUAUCUACAGCGCCGCCGUAACUCGUGUCGAGCCAUGGUGACCGUGCGAAUUGGAUCCUCCGGUUGAAUGUCUGUGCGCUGUCUUGCUGGUGUGACUUGUAAGAUGCUUCAACUGAGAAGGAUCGAUGUUCUCUCAUUGGUUGCGAUACCAAUCCCCGCGCCGGAAUCGGAUGUGCGAUUCCUAGCUAUGCCGGUUUCGUUUUCCAAGUUUUUUUGAGAAUUCUUAGAUGCGGGCGAAGUGCGGGAGAGGUAGAGAUGGCUUGGGAGUCGAGGUUUCUGGACAUGGUGCUGGUGCCGCUGGGGAUCUUGCUUUUGGCAGUGUACCACGCGUAUCUGUGGUAUAUGGUGAAGUUUAAUCCGGAGAAGACCGUCAUCGGCGUGAACCACCUCAACAGGCAGUCGUGGGUCCGUAACAUCAUGAGUGUGCGUCGAUUUUUCCUUCGCCUCGGUUUCGCCUUUGCGUUUUGCGCACUUUGCUUGAAGCUUCGAAUGUGUGUGUCAGUCCAGGGACCACCACGGGCCAGCUGCUAACCACGUGUAGUCUUGUUUCUCGUGUAAUUUUACUCUCUGCAAUUUUCGGGAAGCAUGUAACGUUAGUUUGUGGAUCCUCUGUGCGCUUGGCACAUUGCUUUGCAUAAUCCGCACCCGUUUUCGAGAUUUUCUCGGAGCUGUGUGUACAUGACUGUGUUUUAGUUCCUGAAUAUUUGUGGCAUCCGAUGUUUGUGGAGUCCAACGUGAAUGGCGAAGAAAUCAUGCUCAUGAAUUGUCCGUAACUGCUCACGAUUAGAAUUCUUUGUGCAAUCGGUCGGGGUGGGAGUAUUUGGCGGUUGAUGAUUACAAAAUUUAAAUACCAUUUGAAACACUGUCGAUGAUACGUGAUGAUUUCUAAAGCCAGGAAUUAGGGCUUUCUGUCGUCUAUGGCUACAUAUUGGAAUGAUUUAUUCAGCAUAGAAUUCACAUGAAAACACGCCAUUUCUGAAGUAUUUCGUCUGGCAAUUUUCGAGAGUGAAGAAUUUCAUGACUUUCUGUUAAAGUUUUUUUUGUUUUGGACAUAAUCUGGAGUGACCGCUGUUUUGGAAGAUUCUUGCAAUCCUCAUGUAACCAGGGUAAUAUUGCGGUUGCUACUUUGCUCUGAGGUGUAUGAAAUCGCCAGUUAAAUCUUCAAUGUUUAAAAUUCUAUUGUUGAAGAGUUUGUUCCAGAGAUGGUAAUGCUUUUUGUUGAAUCCACAGGAUAGCGAGAAGAACGGUGUUUUGGCAGUACAAACUCUCCGCAACAGCAUCAUGGCUUCGACGUUAUUGGCAUCCACAGCCAUCACUCUAAGCUCUAUCAUCGGAGCGUUAGUAAGUAGCACAUCCGGAGGCACAAGCAGGACACUGACGCAUUUUGUAUACGGAGAGACCGGAAACAUCACUUCGACUCUCAAGUACCUGUGCCUCUUACUCUGCUUCCUUUUCUCCUUUGUCUGUCAUGUGCAAUCUAUCCGGUACGCAAGCCACGCUAGUUUCCUGCUCAGCAUUCCUGUUGGCGACAAUUCUCCAGGUUUGACACCUGAAUACGUAAAUGAGUUCAUUUUUCGGAGCCAGAACUUCUUUACACUUGGCUUGCGAGGCUACUACUUCUCCUUCCCCUUGUUGCUUUGGAUUUUUGGACCGAUUCCUAUGUUUGUCUGCUCCAUCGUUAUGAUCUUCUUGUUGCAAUCGCUGGACAUGGCCAAGGAAUUCAACGUCACAUUCAAGAUUGUGCAAAAGAAGGAAGCCAGAAAUGAAAAUGACACUGAGCUUCAUCAAAUCCUGACUCCAUAAGACAGAUGGUAAUUGGUAUUAUGUUUGGUAAAUAUCCUUAGACAUUUGGUAAUUGGUAUUACGUUUCACAAAUCUUCCUUAUUCUGAGAAGGUUUAUUACUAUUGUGUCGCUUUAUCAACUUCUCGUUGAUUCCAAAGUGUUUAUUUUACAUGGGUUCUCUUAAGAUUAAAUUAAGAGUACUUCAGUUGAGUAAUAUUGAUUUCCUCACAUUGGGGUAAUUGUUUUCAGACACUGUGUUCCACUCGUAGACAUGGGAUUGGUUCCUGUUCAAUUUCUGCUUGUAGUGCAAAUUAUUCCCAGAUUUUGUGGGCGUAUCAUGUCUCGUCAUGAUUGGAUGUUGCCUUGGCCACCCAUCACAUACACCUGAAACAGAGUAGGUAUACAUUCUUUAUGUGUUUACACGCAUCCCCGCGGAAUGUGGCAUGUACAUUGAAUUUCUGUACUGCAAUUGCCAGCUGUUUUAUUCCCAUUUAUGCUCUUAUAGAAUACGUUCAUGUUCUUUGAACCAUAGAUGCGAUCAAGUAACUUUAAUGCAAGAGAAUGCACUACCUUGAGGACACAACCUUUCAGGAAGAUUGUUGUCCCAUUUAGCUCACAACCUCAAGUGGAGGGAAGCUCCUACAAGCAAUGCUCAGAGGAUAACAUCUCCCUUGCAAACACCUGGUUGUCAAUUUAAUAGUAAGCUUUUCUUCAAUUAAGAUCAAUUAGAGAAUGUUCAUCGUAGUUCAACUUUGUGUGAGAAAUCCGAUGAAAGUGCAGGGGCUGUGAUCCAGAGUAAGCUGUGUUAGACACAAAGUCACUUCUCUUAUAAAUAACCAGAGUUCGAAUCGCAAGUUCAUGUCUCAAUGAGCACCGAUCACUACAUUAGCCAUGCAAGUCACCUUGGCACUUGGUCAAAUAAUCUGAAACCACAUCACUUGAAAUUAUCCACAAUUCACCUCAGUAUUGAAAAAAGAAAAAAAAAAAAGAAAAAAAAAAAAAAAAAAACCAAUUCAACAGUGCAUCCUGAAAUACACAUGUGGCUUGGCCAGAAACGACAAUGCAAAGCUCCACAACCCCAUGACAGCUUCCUUACCAGGUUUGCACCGAGGGACGCAAGCCAAGCCGAUGGGGAAAAGGUCACCUUAGGGAAGAGGAGAGGCGGAACUUUCAAGUGUCUUACGAUGAGUGCGUGACAAGCACCCACGCUCGUGAUGACGCAGGUGGAGCCGCGUGGUUUAACAGCCUGUUGGCACAAUAGUAACUGUAAGGCAAAGGAAGGUAAGUGAAGCGGAAGAUGUGAUCCAGGAGCAACCACAAGGCCCCCCCUCCGGAGGUGAAGCUCUCGCUCCCCUGGAGCCUGGCAUGACGGCGCUGGCACAUGGGUUGAGUCGAUCCGGAUCCCUCUCUUCCUCGACGCUCCCCUUUGCCUCGUCUGCACGGGAUCACCUCCGCUACCGUUACGUCCCUCUUGAUCGUUGUCUUUGCUUCCACUGACCUGCUCUAUAUGGUUAAGUAUUCGGGGACUUGUGAAACGGAGAGCUGUUCCCUUUCUGAAUGACUGUGCUGGUGGGUUGAAGCGACGCGAGAGGCGAGGGAAGUUGCCUCAUAGUGUCAAGGUUUCGGAGGUCGCAAUGGGGGUGCAUGGCGAGGAGCAGUGUCCGUUUCAUGAUUUGGGUUGGGCGCAGAUUGGCGGAUGGGUGGCAGUUCUGGGUGCCGUGCUGGUUGGAGCCUUAAUGGCGGGUGUGUUCCUGCGGAAGACAAGGACUAAGCCCGUGGGGAAGAAGAAACAGGGCGGUGGGGUUGUGUCAGUGGGUGAUGCUGAUGGAGGGGUGCGCAGUGAUGGCGAUUUGGAUGCUAUUAUCGUUGGGGCUGGUGUUGCAGGGUCGGCGCUUGCGUGUACUCUCGGAAAGGUACACGCCUACUCUUCUCUCGGGAGACUGUCGUCUCGAUAGUGGGUAUAGCUGGAGGUGGGUUAAGAAACACAGACGAUAUUAUCACGAGUUAUUCAAUGCUGCAUUUGUUACACAUUGUGUCUCGCCGGGCCUGUGGGUUACGAUCUGCGACCGUUAGCCGCCCAGGCGUGGCUCAUAAUUCAAUGUUAAGGACUCAAGACGCGUAUUGGCCUCAUUCUGUAUCCAACAAGUUUGCAUGCAUGCAUGAUACUUAUCUCACCCAUUUGUGUGUGGAGACUGCACCUAUGAAUUCGCAUCGCCAACCGCAUAUACAAGGAGUGACGGCAGAUAUACAUUACCCUAUUUUCCGCAAGAACCUAUUCAUCGUUGUUUGUGCUCUUCUUCCAUUCUGUACUUGGUCACGUACGGGAUACAUUGGUAUCUACCACUGGAGCUAACCUGGUUUAUGAAGCUUAUUUGCGAGUAUGGUAUUUGCUUAUUUGACCGAAAGUGGUCUAGUGACGAUGCUCGGUGUGCUGGUAGGAUGGGCGAAGAGUAUUGGUGUUGGAGAGGGACUUGAGCGAGCCAGAUCGCAUUGUAGGAGAGCUGCUGCAGCCCGGAGGAUACCUGAAGCUUCUAGAAUUAGGUCUAAAAGGUGCUACUUCAAUUCAACUUAUGAUAUCUGCUGUUUCCAUCUUUUCUUGUCAGGGCUAUGAAUUUGCACGUCUAUUCUUAACUUUACUGGUUUUGAGGUCUGGUGUAGGAGGACCAUUUCCGUGGGUUUCAGAGUAAAAGAGAAUAUCCAUUAUCAACCCAUCGAGUCUGUUGAGAAGGUCAACAACACUUUUCUGAUCAAAUUAGGGAUAAUUCUGUAUUUCCCAACUAGAGGUUGGCUUGUAGUUGUUUACACCAACAGAUGCUUACCUGGGAAGCGUUGAAACUGGUGCAGAUUGUUUAGAAGGUAUCGAUGCACAGAGAGUGGUGGGAUACGCUCUGUUUAAGGAAGGGCGAGAUGCUAAAGUGGGAUAUCCUCUUGAGGGAUAUGGAGAUGAUAUAGCUGGACGCAGCUUUCACAAUGGUCGUUUCAUUAUGAAAAUGCGGGAGAAAGCUGCCUCGAUUCCUCAGUAAGCAACUGAACCCCCCCUCAAAUACGGAAUGACGGCUGUACUCUCGUGAUUGCUUUGGAGCUGUGUACAAUAUUUGUGAUUCUACAAUUCUUCAUUUUCUUUUCAUGUAUGGCGUGGUAAUACUGUUUCUGGGACUACAUUGACGUCUGCAGAGUGAAAUUGGAGCAAGCUACUGUCCUCGGCUUAAUCGAGAACGAAGGUGUUGUCACCGGCGUGAGAUACCGAACACCUGAUGGUCAAGAGCAGGAGGCCAAGGCUCCACUUACAUUCGUCUGCGAUGGUUGCUUCUCAAAUUUGCGUCGCAAGCUUUGUGAGCCGAAGGUCCCGUCCCUUUUUCAUGAAUCAUUUACUCCAUAGAUCACUCUGUGUGAGUUUUGACGAAUACUAUUGGUACAACUUAAGUUGCUCUAUGGCGCUACUUCCUUGACCAACAAUAUGUCAAUUUCUCUUGUUUGUGCAGGUUGAUGUCCCGUCAUGCUUCGUCGGACUUGUGCUGGAGAACUGUGAGUUGCCUUACUCUAGCCAUGGGCACGUUGUUUUGGCGGACCCAUCCCCCAUCCUUCUUUACCCUAUUAGCAGCACAGAGGUUCGAUGUCUUGUGGAUGUUCCUGGCCAGAAAGUGCCCUCCAUCGGUAAUGGUGAUAUGGCCAAACAUCUUCGCACUGUAGUGGCUCCUCAGGUAAUUGCUCUCUCCCCUUCCCUGCGUUUUCUCGAUCAGGAUCUCUGCAAUACUUGCUGUCUCCUUGCCUUUGUUGGUUUCUGCUGAGGCUUUGGAGAAAGUUAUACAGUAAAGAGCAUGAUAUGCUAUUCUAUGUGGUGUUGGUGAAACCUCAUGUUACUUGCAAUGCUUUUCAGCUACCAGGGCAAAUACAGUCUUCGUUCCUUGCUGCUAUAGAGAAGGGAAACAUUCGAUCCAUGCCAAACAAGACCAUGCCUGCAUUGCCAAGGCCUACACCUGGAGCUCUCCUUAUGGGGGAUGCAUUCAACAUGAGACAUCCUCUGACAGGCGGCGGCAUGACCGUGGCUCUUUCCGAUAUUGUUCUGCUCCGGGACAUGCUCAGGCCUUUAAGUAGUUUUCAUGAUGCUCAAUCAUUAUGCGAUUACUUGCAGGCUUUUUACACGCGACGCAAGGUGUGCUUUCUAUUCUUAUUGUUUAUUUAUUUUUGUGUAUAUGUGUCUGCAUGACCAGCAUUAUCUUAUACACAUAAUGUCAGUAUUUAAUCAUUUCGAGCAUGUUGGAAGACACUGAUUAAACUUGAUGCAGUACUCAUCUUAACUGCAACAUGGCUUUGGAAAACAACGAAGUGUUUUGUUUUCUAAAUUUACUGAAAGGGAUUAGCGCUGACGUAACUUCUGCAAUGCCUUUUCAACUAUUAUUUUUAACACAUGCUAGGUCUUCCCUGGUUUUGGUUGUGCAGCCUGUUGCAGCCACUAUCAAUACUCUUGCGGGAGCCCUUUACAAAGUGUUUUGUGACUCCCCUGAUUUGGCGAUGAAAGAAAUGAGACAGGCUUGCUUUGACUAUUUGAGCAUUGGAGGUGUCUUCUCAAGUGGACCAGUUGCCCUUUUGUCUGGACUUAACCCUCGUCCUUUGAGUCUAGUGGUCCACUUCUUUGCGGUUGCUGUAUAUGGAGUAGGGAGACUCCUUGUUCCUUUUCCUUCACCGUCAAGGGUAUGGAUUGGCGCACGUCUCCUACGGGUACGUCCCUUCUUCUUUAGCUUCAAACUCGAUUCAAUUUAUCUACGGUUUCUGAUCACUCGAUAUUUGGUUCAAAAUCAAAUCGCCAUCUGUCUACGAUUCCAUACCUCUUUCCACACUACGAUAUUACGAUUUCUUCAUAGCUUCGCAACUGUGGUUGCUUUCCAGGGAGCUGCGAAUAUUAUAUUCCCGAUCAUUAAAGCAGAAGGAGUCAGGCAGAUGUUCUUUCCAAAUAUGGUUCCUGCAUAUUACAAAGCACCACCGGCAGAGGAGUAAGUGAAAUGUGAUGGUGCGGUAUUGAAAUUAACCGGUCUCGUUUACUAAUAAACAGAGACUGGUCAUUAAUUCAACCAGUUCCUCCUGUCUCGAUUGCUUAACUUUCAAUGUCGGUCAUGACUUGCUUCAUAACAGUUUUAUAAUCGACUUCGUGAUUUGGAUGAUGAGCGCUGCGCUUGGUAGACAUCCUGAAGAAAGAUAUUCCAAUGGUAGUAAACUUUCCUUCCAGCUACGGUUUAGGCAUUGUUGUUUGUGACGUCCAACUUCCUGCUGAUUUGGCAAGUUGCUAGAAUUUGAGCUUCGAUGUUCAGGGAUCAGCUCGGUUAAUUGGAGCUAAGCAUACAGGAAAAAGAUUCUGAGAGCAUAGGAGCUAACAUUUUUGUCACUUGUUCUUCAGUGUUAUGUACCAUAUGAUUUAAAUAGCAAGCUGAUUCAUAGAUUUUUCUCCCAUCAUGGUUCUCAAUUGUGACAGUAGGCCUUAAAUUAGCUGAAUGUUCUGCAAAGCUCGCAUUAAAUCUUGUUUUCAAAGAGUGUUUUCGAAGAGAGACAUGGAGAUGUUGCUGGGGACGGGAGUACCUGACCAAGAAUGCAGUGGACAUUCUUGGCAACACAACUUCUGCCUCGUAAUUGAUAUCAUAGUUUAUACUUGUUGAAUACGCAUGAACAUGAAGUAACAGUAAAAAAUGAAAUUGUUUCAUGAAGUAUCAUGUUCCUUGAUUGCAUGCUUUUAGCAGUGAAUAUUGGUAUGAAAUUAUUUUGUUUUCACCAUAACUCAAUAAACUAAUAAGGUGUAACUUUUAUGUGUUUUCUGCACAAUUGUGGCCAAUUCAAAUUAUAAGUACUUAAAAUAUGCGUAUUUUCUCUUGUAAACCUAACAUAUUUUUCUUCAACAAAUAUUCCUUGUGAAUUUAAUUUAAUGAAAAGUAGCUUACCAAGAUUUUAGGAUUGUUGAGGUGAUUUGAUUAGUGAGACUUUAUUGUAUCUUUGGUAAUACUUUUCAAGUAAUUACAAUAACAGAUGCCAAGUUUUCAAAGUAUUAAGAUUGCUCUUUUUACAAAACUACAAGUUUGAUCAUGAGUAAGAAGAACAAUAUAUUGGGUAUUGUUAUUUCGACUAACCACAUGCCAUAAUGUUUUUAUUGCCACCACAAGCUGCCACAAUAUUUGACAUAAAAAUAUAAUUUAAUUUUUUAAAUCAUAUUUCUUAAAAAUUAAAAUAUAUGACACAAUAAAAUAGUAGAUUAGAAUGAGAAGAAAAUAAUCAUAAAUGUUGUUAAAAAUCUAUUAAACAAACUUUUAGAACAUGUGUAUAAAUGUAGAGAUAUAUAUAUGUAUAUGUAUAUAUAUAUAUAUAUAUAUGUAUUAGAAAGAGUGGGAAAAAACUAUUCCUAUUAUUAAAUAAAUGAUCUAGAAGAAAAAUUGCUCAAAUAAUAAGAUUUUAUAUCUUACUCAAAAUGUAUUAAAAAAACAUUCUUCACAAGUUUAAAAAGCAUUCAUACCACAAUUCCCAUUGCUAACAUGGAAAUUGACAAAACCAUAUUUUACAUAUACUAGUAUUCUUAUAAACUUGUAGUAAUAUUAUUCAAAUUGUAUAAUGCAUUAUUUAUGUUCAUAACUUUGUAAUACUAUUUAAAAGAAGUGUAUAAAUAAAUAAUAAAUUUAAUCAUUCAAGUUGAUGUCUUAUUAGAGUGGAUAAAAUCAUAGACAGAUUGAAUAAUUUGAUAUGUUAUUUACAACAAAAAAAAAUAAUGCUAUCACUAUUAUUUAUAAUAAUUAUAAUAAAUUUAAAUAAUAUAAAAUAUGAUUCUUAAAGUAUAACAUCACAAUUAUUAAAACAUAACCAAAUACAAAGGUGUAACAGAUGCCUAUAUUACUUAAAUAAAUAGAAAUAAAUUGAGGUUUGAGAAGUGAAUAGGAAUAUGUGAAGUAGAUAAUAUCUUCUUCAUGAAACUUUGAGAAAGUUUUGUGGAUGUAAAUUAUAAAUUUAGACUCUUAAGCAUAUGUCAUUUGACUAUGAAACUUAUUCUAUUUGUAAACAUUUUCUUACUUGUAGAAAGCAACCUACAACCUCACACUUGAGCCAAAGCUUCAUGGUUUCUAAGAAGUUUUUGUAAGGUUUUUUUAGUAGCUAAUAUAUAUAUGGAGGCAAGGUUGUGGCCAUCUUUAGUCUUAUACAUAUCUUUCUUGUAUUCUAAUUUUAAUUCAAAAUUCUCUUGCUUUUGUAUAAAUAACAAUAAUCAUUCUAGUUUUUUCUAUAAUAAAUAUCUCUUUUAUUUGCCUACUUUCUUAUUUCAAUGAUACAAGAGUGUAUUAUCUUCAUUUAGGUCCUUGACUUAAAGUUAUUAACAAGAGACCAAGAUUGUUAAAUGACUCAAAAAAAUUACAUUAAAAUUGUUUUAGAAACAUAAUAACAUAAUAUUCAAUAUAUAAUAUUUGAUCUAUAAGUUGAAGAACUUUAUUAUAAAUACUCAAAUGUUUUGCAUAUAUAACAUCAAUUCAAUAUAUUUUCAAAUCUUUUCAAAUCUUUUCAAAUCUUUAUAUAAACUUUACAUAACUUUUUUUGGUUUUAUAAAAUUAAUUAUUACUUAAAUUUAUUAGAUUGUAGAAUAUUUAAAAACAUUUGCUACAACCAAAAAUAUUUUUAAAUUUUACUUUAUAGUUUUUUUUUAUAAAUUCUAUAAAACAAAGUAAUAGUUCUUGCUUUAUUUUUUAUUAUUUUCUUCAAGGUAUGUAGACAUUUUAAAAUGUAUCCAUAUAUUUAUUAAUUUUUUUUAUAAAAAAUAUUAAAAAAACUCAAACAUUCUAUUUAUUAUAAUAUAUAUGUAGACUUACACAUAUAAAGAUUUAUAUUUAUACAUCUUUAUACUUAUAAAUCUUAUACUUGUAAAUCUUAUAAGAUUUAUAUUUACACAUAUAAAUCUUUAUACUUAUAAUUAUAAAUUUUUUUAUUUACUUGUAUAAAGAUUUGGACUCAAUUUUAAAUAUCAUUUUUAAAAUUAUUUAUGUGUAAAUAACUUAUCAAUUAAACAUAAUCUCAUAAAUAAUAUCCAUUUUUUCUCUUUUUCUUUUUCAUAAUUGUUGUAAGGAGUACUAUUCUACAUUUAAAAUGUAAACGUAAUCUAAAUACUUCAAGAAUGUUUUUAGUAUUAUUUAGUAUUUUUUUUCUGUAUUACUUAAACCAAGGGUUUUUAUUUAUUUAAUUCACUCCAUUCUAAAGAAAAAUAUUGUAAGUCUUUAUAGAACUCUAAAUUAACAUUCUUUUAUGUUUUAAUUCACCACCUUUGAUAAUAACUUUACUUUAAAACACAAUGUAAAUAAUAAUAUUUUUCAAUUGUCUGUAGUUAAAGAUUCACUGUUUUACUUUAUUUCAGUGAUACAAAAUAUAGUUUAUCCAAAAAAAAUAUUAAUGGAGAUGAAUUAAUAAGAAUAUAUAUAUAUAUAUAUAUAUAUAUAAAAAUAUAAAUAUGUAUCCGAAUUGUUUAUUGUGUGGUAGAUAUAAGAGCAAUAAGAACCUUCAUUAGAUCCUAAAAUAAGCUACUUAUCUAAAUUACUAGGCCACAUUGAGACAUACUUCAAUUCUAUUUAGCUAUCAAAUUAAACUUAUUCUAAUUACAUUUUCUUGCCAUGCAUAUUUUUUUCUAUUUUCUUUACGAAAAUUUCUUGAUGUUAGGUACUUUUCCAUCUUUUUAAUUAAAACUUUCUAUACUAUUUGAUCAUAUCCAAUUAAUCUUGACUGAAUUAUUUUCCUCAUAUGGAGGUCAUUAUACAUUUUUUUCUCAAACACAUAUCUACUUUUUGAAAUCAAAUAGUCCAAAUAUAGAUUUCACAUUGGAUAUCUUUUGAAUGAAAGUAAUUAAAUAAGUGCAACUAUAUUAAGGAAUUAUAAAGAUUAAUUAAAACAAGUUAACAAAAGUAUAAAUAAUUUACUUUCUUUUUAUACAAUUAUCACUCAAAUUUUUUUCUUGUACUCUGAUAUAAUCUUAAAAAGUAGAUCUACAUAUUAAAUUGUAGUGGCUUUUAAACAUGACAUAUCUCUUAGGACCUUUCACACAACCAAGAUUUAGAACAAAAACUUUAGAAGACAAAAAUUGUUGGUAAAUAAAUGGGAUACUAAAGCUAAGAUAUACUCUAAAUAUUCUAUAAGACUAUUUAAGAGUUUAUUUGCUUUUGUAUAAUGCUAGUAAUAUUAAACAAAUCCUAAUUUACAAAUCUCUCUCCAAGAUUUGGCAAUGUUUGUCUUUUUCUUUUUCUUUUGUAUUUUUAAUUUCUUUUUGCAGCAAUAACUAUAAUCUAGAAUUAAAGUAUUUUUUAUGUUCAAAAGACCGAUUGACCUUUGGAGGCACUCAUUCAUAUUUAUGAAGGCAUAUUUUUUUUGUAUAAAAAACUCUAUUUAAGGAAAACUUAAAUUUUUAAGUUGGUAUGAAGUGUAUAGAAUAAGCAUAUCUAUUACAUAUAUAAGUAUAUAUAUAUAUAAAAUAUAUAUAUAUAUAUAUAUAUAUGUGUAAUUUUUUAUAUUAAUUAAAUAUUAGUUAUACCUAAAUAUAUUCAUAAUAUAUUUUAGUAAUAUAAGAAAUAUUUUGAAUACAUUUUUCUCAUAAAUAAAUAAACUUAAGUAAGACACUUAUAUAUUUUAAUAUAUAUAUAUAUAUAUAUGUGUGUGUAUGUGUGUUUGUGUGUAUGUGAGUGGGUGUAUGUGUGUGUGAGUAUAAGUAUUUACAUAAGUAUAAAUAGAGAUACAAAUAUUAAGGUAUGUGUGCACAUACUAAUGUAUACGUAAUUUAUUUAUUUUUAUGUUAUUAAUUUAUGUAAAGUUUAUAGAGACAUAAAUAAAAUAAUAAUAUUUUUUAGUGUAUUUAUAUAUAUAUAUAUAUAUAUAUAUAUAUAUAUAUAUAUAUAUAUAUAUAUAUAUAUAUAUAUAUCAAUAAUUUUAAGCGCUUCUAAAAUAUUUUCUAAAUUGAAGUUUGUUUUGAAAAUAUACAAUAUAAUAAUAACUCAUAUUAGUACAUUUAUAUUCUACAAAAAAUAAUUCACUUAAUACAAAUUGUAUGAUUUUUUUAACAAGCUAAAAAUUAAUCAUUUUUUAUAUUUAAGUCAUAAUAAAAAAAUUAUUAUUCAUUAAAUAAUAUUUUUCUAACUUUGAAUUUUAAUAUUUGUUCAUAGUUAGAAUUUUUUUAUAUUAAAAUUAUUUAAUAAUGAUGUAAACUACAACAUAUAUUAUUGUAUUUUUUUCUUACAAAACUACCAUGAUGAUUUAAACUUAAAUUUAUAUUUUUUUAUAAUUUUGAAAUAUAUUGAAAUUAUUAUUUUUAAUUGUUGAAAAAAAAUAUAUUAUGCAAUAAAAAAUAUAAAUUGAAUCUUCAUAUUAAUCUUCUUUUUUAAAAUAUCUAUUUCUUAUGCAAAAAAGAAAAAUGAAUAUAAUUUAUGUGUGUAUCUGAAUAUAUAUAUAUAUGUAUAAGAUUUUAUCUAAUUUUAAUAUAUGCAUAAUUAUUUUUGAUGCUUAAAAAUAAUCAUUAUAUCUUUACUAUUACACAAUGGAUAAUAUAAAAAUAACCUAUUGAAAUUAUAGACUUAUUGUUAAAUGAAAUAACUGUACAGUAUGGUUAAACGUUUUUUAUAACUUUUAUAUUAUUUUGAUCUUAUAAACAACAUAUAUUUAACUAGCACAAAUCAUUAUAAUUAAUAAAUAUAAUGAUAUGUUGAAUCACAUGUAGCAUGAGAUCAAGGUAAAAAAUAGUGUACAUACAACAUAUUAUUAUAUUUCUAAAAAUUCAACUAUGUAAUUUUAAAAUCUAUAUAAUCUUUUUUUAAAAGGUUUUUAUUUACUAUAGUGAGAGACUAUGAUACAGUCAUAAGGUGUAGAAUUAUUUCAUAAACUCAAUUUAUUAAUUAUGAAAAUAUUUAAAUGCUAUUUAAAUACUAUAAUAAUAAAUAAUUGAUUUAAAAUAUUGAAUAAUCUUUCAAAUAAACAAUAAUUCUUAAACCUCCAAAUAAAUUUUAUAAAUAAUUUAAAAAUAGCUAUGUUUAAAUUAUUUAGACCAAAUUUUUUUUUUAAUUAUAGCUAUGUUUUAAUUAUAAAAGACCACAAUUUUUUUUUUUUAUUGUAUAUUACUUUUUUUUUUUUUUUUUUUUUGUACUCCUCUUGACAAAUCCAACUAAAUACUUCAGAAGAUUAAAACAUUAGUAAAGACGUUUUUGUAGAGAAUUUUCUUAUUUAUAGCAUAUUUCGAAGCAACUUUUAAACUUUAUUUUAAACUAAAAAAAUCUUAUUAUAAGUGAAGUAAGUGGUUUAGAAAUUACAAAUUCUAAAAGACAUCUUAUCUUUGAUGUUAAUCACGUAGAUAAUAAUGUCUUUUGAAUCAAGUAAUUUUAAUAUUCAAUUAUUUGAAUGAUUUAGAUACAAUUGCAUAAAACCACAUUAAGGGACUUUUGUGGUCUGUUUUUAUAUCAAUAAAUGUCAUUUUUAUAAAUAGAGCAUAAAUCCUAAAAACUCGUCUACAAAGUACAAGGUAUUAGGGACAUAUUCCUUAGAACCUUUUAGAGAGAAGUUUCUAGAAGCUCUAGAAAGGAAGUCUCUGGAACCUUCUAGAAGAGAAGCUUCUAGAAGCUUCUAGAAAGGAAUCCCCUGGAACUUUCUAGAAGCUUCCUAGUUAAUAGAAGUAGCUCGAGAAGUUUCUAGAACCUUCUAGAAAUGAAGCCUUUGGAACCUUCUAGAAGCUUCCUAGUUAAUAGAAGUAGCUCGAGAAGCUUCCUAAGUAGGAGUAUAUAUAGGGAUCGAGGCUGAAGAGUUCUUCAGUCUCGACAACACAUCUCUUGGAGUUCUAGCUCACCUUUCUGGUGUUGUUCUUGUACUCAUCUGUUUAAUCUAGUUCUGCCACUUCUUCUUGAACUUCUUGUUAGAUUUCAAGUCUGUAUUUUGUGUCCGUGACAGUUUGUCGAGACUACACUAACUUGAGAUAUGAGAGCUAGUUCUUUCUUAGUAGAGUGUGGAUUACCCCUCUACUUGAAGGUAUACUAGCAUUUUUUAGAGGUUGCGGAUUACCCUCCUCUAAACUGAUACUUCUUCUGUUACAAUAUUGGAGUCUUAUUCUUCUUGGAGAGAGUGGAUUACCCCUCUUCUUGAAAUUCUUAAGGCGUUUUAUAGGUUGUGGAUUACCCUCCUAUAAACCAAUAUUGCCUCUUAUAGGGUCAUUUUUGUCCUUCUUUUAGAAUGGCCAGAGGUCAAGACAUUAGUAUGACAAAAAGUUCGGAGUCUAAGUUAGAUGCUAUUAUGAAUGCCCUCGCUACGUUAUGACAAAGAAUUGCAGAGAUUGAAGGAGUGGUGGCAAGGCUUCAUAAUGAUGGAGUAUCUGGGAUAGCACAAUCUAAACUACACCAGCCUCAAAUUUCGGCACUUGGAGAAACAACUUUACCUCAGGUUCGACAAGAACCACUAGUUCUACAACAUAAGGAGCCUCGAGUUAGCCUUCCAGAUAAGUUUGAUGGAACACGUUCCAAGUUUCGAGGAUUCGUCAAUCAAAUCAGGUUGAUAACAGUUUUACAGCCCGAACGAUAUUCAACGGAGGAGUCACGUGUUGGGCUUGUUAGAACCUUACUUACGGGACAAGCUCUAUCAUGGUUUGCUCCUUUGUUUGAGAAACGAUCAUCCAUAUUAAAUAACUUCGAAACCUUUUUGGAAGCAUUUGCGGAAGCAUUUGGUGAACACGAUAAGGUUCGAUGAGCUACAACAAAGAUUCGGUCGCUACGACAAGGGAUGCGUUCUACAUCAAUCUAUGCUUCGGAUUUCAGGCAAUUAGUAUGCGACAUCAAUUGGGAUGAAGAAGCGUUGAUGAGUCAAUUCUAUUGGGGUUUAAGAGAUGAUGUGAAGGAUUUGCUGUUAACUCUUCCUGAUCCACGAACGCUCAAUGAAGCCAUUAGCCAAGCUGUGAAGUGCGAUAAUCGCCUAUUCCAAUGUCGCCAAGACCAACGCUCAAGACAACAUACAAUUCGCCAUGCUCCAACUAUGUCGGCAAGCGGUGUGAAUUCGCAUUCAGAGGUGGAAGACAUGCAAAUUGAUGCGGUACGUAUCAAAUCUCUUACUAUAGAAGAAAAAAAGCGACGUAUGGAGGAAAAUUUAUGCUUGUAUUGCGGUGGAGAAGGCCACAAAGUCGGAAACUGCCCCAAAAAGCAAAAUCGAGGCAUAGUCAAGACUAGGGGAGUAUUUGUUCAGGAAAACGAGGAUGCCCAACCACAGUAGGAACCGUGCGGCUGGACAAUGAAAUAUCCCAACAACAAUCAGGUUCCUUUCUUUCUGCCCAACCUGCACUUUGUUUUACAAUCCCUCUGUUUAUCGGCCCUUAAAAACUGAGAACCUUAGCACUACUAGACUCAGGAUCAUCUGCUUGUUUUUUAGACAAAGAAUUUGCAAAGCGUCAUAAGAUCCCUUUAGUACAAAAAUCAAAACCUGUUCAUGUUGAGGUCAUAGAUGGGCGACCUUUAUUGUCUGGUAGCAUCACCCAUGAAUCAAAACCUAUAGAAGUAACGUUUAAAGACCAUAGUAGUCAUAUUAUUUUUAAUAUUAUUAGAACCCCAUCAAAUCCUAUUAUUCUUGGUCUUUCUUGGUUGGAAAAACAUAAUCCAUUGAUAGAUUCGAGGUUGCGGAAGAUGACUUUUCUCACAAAACCACCCAAGAAAAAACCUAGUAAAAAACCUCGAAAAAAGAAAUCCUUAUUCAUUGGAGCAAGAGCGUUUAUAAGAUCAUCUAAGGAAGGCACUCUAUUUGUCAUUUAUGCGGCUCCAACUACCGAGGAGAAGAUCUCAACAGCAAGUAUACCAAAGCAAUAUAAAGAUUUUGAAGACGUGUUUCAAAAGAAGAACGUCGACAUACUACCGGAACACCGACCAUAUGAUUGUGCCAUAGACUUGCAAGAAGGAGCACAACCACCUUUUGGCCCAAUCUACAAUCUAUCGCAAACGGAGUUGGCAGAGUUACGAAAGUACAUCGACGAGAAUCUAGCCAAGAACUUCAUUCGUCAUUCAAAAUCAUCAGCUGGAGCACCCAUCUUAUUUGUGAAGAAGAAAGAUGGAUCAUUACGGAUGUGUGUGGACUAUCGAGGCCUCAAUAAGGUAACAAAGAAAAAUCGUUACCCAUUACCCUUGAUUUCUAGUCUCUUAGAACAACUUGGACGUGUGAAGAUCUUUACAAAAAUUGAUCUAAGGGGAGCUUAUAAUCUCGUACAAAUCAAGGAAGGAGAUGAGUGGAAGACAGCAUUCCGUACAAGGUAUGGUCAUUUCGAAUAUAACGUCAUGCCUUUUAGUCUUACCAAUGCUCCAACGGUUUUCCAACAUAUGAUGAAUGACAUCUUUCGAGAACACCUCAACGAUUUUGUUGUCAUCUACUUGGACGAUAUUCUAAUAUUCUCUAAAAACGAGGAAGAGCAUGAGGAGCAUGUUCGUUUGGUCUUGGAGAAACUACGCAAGUGACGACUAUAUGCCAAAUUAGAAAAGUGUUUAUUUCACCAGACGGAGAUGGAAUUUUUGGGGUUCAUUGCGACUACAGAAGGUUUGAAGAUGGACCCCAAGAAAGUAGAAGCAAUCAUGUCUUGGGAGGUUCCGAAGACGGUUAGAGACGUACAAUGCUUUCUUGGUUUUCCUAACUUCUAUCGGAUCUUCAUCAAGAAUUAUUCUCAAGUUGCUGCUCCUCUCACUCGAUUAACAUGCAAAGAUAAGUUGAAAUGGGGACCUUUGGUGGAGAAGGCGUUUCAAGAUUUGAAGACAGCAUUUACUACAGCUCCAAUUUUGGUACAUCCAGACUUUACAAAGGCCUUCUAUUUAGAAACUGAUGCUUCAGAUUUUGCUUUGGGAGCUGUGCUUUCACAAAUGAGUGAAGAUAAGAAGCUCUAUCUAGUUGCAUUCUAUUCUCGGAAGUUCUUUGCUGCUGAAAUCAAUUAUGAGAUCCACGAUAAGGAACUUCUUGCUAUAGUGGAUUCUUUCGAAGAAUGGCGUCACUUUCUUGAAGGAGCUACAAAUCCAAUAACCGUAUAUACGGAUCACAAGAAUUUGGAGUAUUUCAUGACAGCUCGAGUUUUAAAUCGGCGUCAAGCUCGGUGGAAUAUGUCGCUAUCUAGAUUUGAUUUUGUUAUCACUUAUUGACCUAGAAGGAAGCAAGGACUAUCUGAUGCUUUAUCAAGGAGAUCUUAUCUUGCACUAAAGGCUAGAGAAGCAGCGUUUGAUCAACAAUGUACAACGUUAUUGAAGCGAGAGAGAUUUCAACUUUGUGCUACUAUUGUAUCAUUUGAUGCUGACUUCCUAAACCAGGUACGUGCUAUGACCAUUAAAGAUUCAGUAGCCAUUGAUAUCAAGCAAAGUACCAAUGAUGACAAGUUCAAGGUGGAGGGAGAUCUUUUAUACUUUGAAGAGCGAUUGUACAUUCCAAAAGGACUAGCACUACUCCGAGUUCUUCAAUCUCGCCAUGAUUUUCCAGCUGCAGGACAUUUUGGAUUCAAUAAGACCUUGGAGCUUAUUUCCCGAGAUUUUUGGUGGCCCCAAAUGUCGAAGGAUGUGAAAGAUUUUGUCCUCUCUUGUGACAUCUGUUCAAGAUCUAAGAAUCCUCGGCAUCGCCUUUAUAGACUUCUACAGCCAUUGCCAAUUCCAUGUCGACCAUGGUCUUCAAUUUCUAUGGACUUCAUCACGGACUUGCCAUCAUCAAACUCAUUUCACAACAUCUUUGUCAUGGUAGAUCGGCUUACGAAGAUGGCACACUUUGUUCCUUGUAAGAAGACAUCGUCCAGUGAAGUCACAGCAAGACUCUUUCUCGAUAAUGUGUAUCGAUAUCAUGGACUACCAGAUGAUAUCAUAUCAGAUCGAGGUACCCAGUUCGUGUCAAAGUUUUGGAGAUCUCUCUUUGGGAUAUUGAAGGUGGAUAUCAAGCUUUCUUCAGCUUUUCAUCCUCAAACUGAUGGCCAAACGGAACGGGUGAACCAAGUCUUGGAGCAGUACUUAUGAUGCAGCAUCAACUAUUAGCAAGACGAUUGGACUGCAUAUCUACCGCUAGCCGAGUUUGCAUAUAACAACACCCUCCAUGCGUUGACUCAACAAACACCAUUCUUUUCCAACUAUGGGUAUCAUCCGAAGCUUGAUUUAUUGAGUCCGUCAACAAAUAACAAUCCAGCAGCUGAAGGAUUUGCGAAGCAACUAUCAGAGCUUCAAACUAUGUUGAAGCUUCAAUUACAAUCCGCUCAAGAAUCCUAUAAGACGUCUACAGAUAGAUUUCGGAAUCCAACACCUACUUUCAAAGUUGGAGACAAAGCUUGGCUUCUUCGACGAAAUAUCAAGACCAAGCGACCAUGUGAUAAGUUGGACUAUCGAAGAUUGGGACCAUUUAUCAUCCAGAAGCAAAUUAAUCCAGUGGCAUACCGGCUAGAGUUACCGGCUUCUAUGAAGGUACAUCCAGUCUUUCAUGUUUCUCUGUUGGAACCUUAUCGAAAGUCAUCUUUUCCUAGAAGAGUGCAAUGUCUGCCACCUAGUAUUGAAAUCGAGAACCACGAAGAAUACGAGGUUGAAAAGGUAUUGGAUUCACGGCAAAGGUGGGAAAAGUUAGAAUAUCUUGUUCAUUGGUGCAGCUAUGACAUUAAUGAGCGAACGUGGGAGUCAACUGAAAAUCUUGCGAAUGCGCCACAAAAGGUACAGGAGUUUCAUCAACGACAUCCCGAUAAACCUAAAUCAAUUCGAUGAUAGCUUCUUUCUGAAGCUUGUUCUCCCAACAAUAUAAGAAAAAGGGAGAGCACCAGCAAAAUUCAUUGUUGAUGUAGUUAUUUUCUCCAAGAUAGAUCGUAGUUUGGUCUUUUGAAAUGGAUAGCCAAGAGAUAGAUACUAUGCCAGUCAGAGUAUCGCAACCAAGUAGCUCACGAAGGCGACCCCGAGAUGAAGAACUACAUGUACCACGACGACGACGGAGGAUACCGAGUAACCGAUCACUGGUGAUCGUAUUUGAGAUCGAGCCUGCUUACAAUGGUCAACCAGAAGGCGUGUUUGCAGGACAAUUUCACAAUGAGGACACGGAAGUUCAUGCUUGGUCAGAAGUCAAAGGCGUGGGCCACUACCGUUGGCUUCAAGGGUCGAUGAACCACUUGCCUCGUGAACAACAGUUGGAGUUCAUAGCAGAAGUUAUGCGAUAAAUCUUCAUUUUCUUGCGUUGGUACUGAUCAACAACAUUGCUUCUCAGAGACCUCGAAGCUAAAGGAGGGGGUGAUGUUAGGGACAUAUUCCUUAGAACCUUUUAGAGAGAAGUUUCUAGAAGCUUCUAGAAAGGAAUCCCCUGGAACUUUCUAGAAGCUUCCUAGUUAAUAGAAGUAGCUCGAGAAGUUUCUAGAACCUUCUAGAAAAGAAGCCUCUGGAACCUUCUAGAAGCUUCCUAGUUAAUAGAAGUAGCUCGAGAAGCUUCCUAAGUAGGAGUAUAUAUAGGGAUCGAGGCUGAAGAGUUCUUCAGUCUCGACAACACAUCUCUUCGAGUUCUAGCUCACCUUUCUGGUGUUGUUCUUGUACUCAUCUGUUUAAUCUAGUUCUGCCACUUCUUCUUGAACUUCUUGUUAGAUUUCAAGUCUAUAUUUUGUGUCCGUGACACAAGGUCGAAAAAAAAUAGUAAAUCAUAAAUACAUUGAACUUUCAAAAUCAUUUUAUUUGAUGUAUAACAUAUAUUUACAACAAAGCAAAUAAUGUUUACUAAUUACAAAACACAUAUCACUUACCAAAGUAUCAAUCUUACACAAAUAAAGAAUAUAACACAAUAAUGACAUACUAUUUAUAUAUAUAAAAACACAAAAACAAACAAAAGAGAAAAGAAAAGAAAUCCUAGUAGAUUUAAAUCCGGUAAAAAUAAAAUUAGAAAUUAAGAAUCUUACUAUUUAGAUUUAGUUCUUUGAUUUAUUUCAAUCAAGGUUGCAUUACGUACUUAAAGUAAGUCCUUAACUACCAAUAAUAUACAUUGGUUCAGACUGUUAUAAUAUAUAAUUCUAUUUGAAGUAUUAAUUAUUGAAUUUCAUACUUACAUUCUAACAAAAAAAAUAUCAAUUCCUAUGUGUUUUAAUUUCAACCUAAAUGUGUUGAAAGUGGUAUGUAAUGUUUAGUUUUAUUUUAGAACAAAGAACCACAAAAUCAAAUUAUAAUCCUUUAAAUAAAUUCUAUUUUAUAUUAAAAAUAUUUUAUGAAUAAAUAUAAUUAAUAUUUUAUAAUAUUAAUUUUUUUAAUCUUAAUAAUUUUCUAAUAUUAACUUAUUUCUAUAAUAGAUUCAUAUAAAGAAAUAAAAAAAUAAAAAAUAAAAAUAUAAUCUUAUCAAAUAAAGAUAUAAAUUAUUAUUUUUUUUCUAAAAUAAUAGUUUUAAAUUAUAAGUAUACAAUUUUUCUUAGUUUAGCUUUGUGAUACUUAAUUUAUAUUUAUUUAGAUAUAAUAAUAUAUAAAUUCUUUUAAUAGAAAAAUCUAACUCAAUAUUCAAAUUAGAAGAUUGAUUAAACAUGCUUAAUCAAUCUUAGUAGAUUUAUAUAAAAUCAUAUAUAAUGAAAAUAAAAAAUAAAAAUAAACAAAUAAAUAAAUUUAACAAAAACUUUAUUACUUAGUGGAAUGAUUGUAGAUAGCACUUAAACUAUGAACCUACAAAGAUAAUUCUCUAUUAAGAUGGUCCUUUGGAACAUUGGAUAAUUAAUCCACCUCUUAUCAAAUAUAUCAACUCAUAAAUACAACUUUCCAAAUUGCUCAAUUUGUUUUUACAUCUUUGAGAUAUUAAGAACUUGUCCAAAAGUGCAUUCUUUUGGCUAUUUUAUCAAGAAAAUAGAAACUCACAUAUCAAACAACAACAAAGCAAUUGAGAGAAAAGAGAGAGAGGCAAAGUAUAUGGGAACCAAUAUCCAAGGAGUCAAACUCCACAUAAGCACACACAUACUCAAACAAGAGACAAAAUGAUGCACUACAAUGGAAGUAAGAAAACCCAAGAGCAUCAUUGUACCAACAAUGCAAAAGAGGGAGGAAGAAAUAUAUAUAUACAUACACACACACACACACACACAUAUAUAUAUAUAUAUAUAUAUAAUAAAAUAAAAACACAAACAAACAAACAAAACAUAACAAAAGAGAGGGAGGGAGUGGGGCGAGAGAGCCAAAAGGGGUGGUGGAGAGGGAGUGCUUGGGGAGAGUCCACAUCCCCAAUGCCAGAUUCGCAUUCUCAAAGUGGACGGCAUUCAAUCUUUACGCCGGUCCGAGGCCACGGUAUUUAUUACCCACUCGGGUGUGUCCAAGCCUCGCCCCGGUAGACCCCACCCGCGAUCGCCUUUCUCACCCCCUUCCGCCGCAGCCGCGAGGCAACGCCUCGAAAGCCGCUGUCGUCAGGAUUGGCUUCUACCUUCGACACACUUCGGAAAGCGUCGCGUCCACGCUAAUACUCCAAGUAUUGGAGCCUUUUCCUUGCGGAUAUUCUGCCCAAUUUGCAACUAGGGGUAGCACGUGUGAAUCGAGUGACGCGAGAAAAACUUGGGUGGGGUUCAAAGUGCGGUGCUUGGAGGCGCAAUGGUUCGCGUCGACGGUUUCGCAUUUCAGUCGCGAUGUUGCGGGGUGGAUGCGAUGCUUUGUACUUUGGAUCUGCAAUGAGUGGGCAGUGGGUCGUGGUUCAUCCCUUUCGUCGUGGCCCUCUCGUCCCUCCCUUCCCUCCGAAGCAUUUAAUCCCGUGAAUUGAAUAGGGGUCGGAGUCUUCUAAUGCUAUCUAUUAGAAGAACCCAAACCCCUAGCUUUUACGGAGUGUUCGUACUUGAACAGGUGUUCAAGUGAUAGUGUACGAAAAUAUCGAACUCCUGUCCAUAUAAAAGUAAACAUCGAGUUGAAGCCUAAAGUUGUGGAAAGAAAUAGUAUUCCAUCCUCAUUAAAUCGAUCCAGAUGGAUAUGGACGUUCCAUUACAUGCUGUUUUCUUUCGCAACCAAUAACAAUUGUUGGUCUACGAGUUUUUUUUUUUUUUUUUUUUUUUUUUUUUUCUUUCGUCGACUGGGUGGGGAGUGUGUUUGGAUUUUGAGGAAUUGUCGUAUUGGCGGGGUCUAAUUGUAACUGGGUCGUAAGGGGAUCCUGAGUCACCACCUUCGACCUCCCGAGUUUUGGACAAAACCAAAUUUGUGCUUAGAAGCUGCCAAUCAUGGAAGGCCUGACAAAUGUUUCAAACCCUGCGCUGACGAUGAUGUUUCAAAUGCACCAACCGUGGAACUGGUGAUCGCAGCCAGUCGUCAACCUAACAGCUGUCACACUUGGAGAUCGCACAAUCCUGUUGCAGGUAAUAAAUAUAAACCAAAACCUGGAAAAUCGAAGGAUUUUACCGAGAAGCUGAUGAUAGGCAGAAUUUCGUCAAAUCAUCUCUAGACUAGCAUUUGGGUGUCACCAAUGGUGCUGCAGCUGCGUCGAUCUAUUCGAUGAGGUGAACCAAGCAAACCUUCUCGAAAGUGAUUCAUCAAUCGUAUCACGGAGCCAGUCACAUGGUUCGAAUCACAUUCAUUAUGAGAUCAGUUAAUCGCCGGAUCGUGAAGCAGAAUUAGAGCAUUAAGGCAGGUCACGCUGAGGGAGCGGCGGAUACUUGGCCCCAACGGACCGUAAAUCUUUGAUCGCUAUCGGGAUUUGACUUGUGACGGGAGAGGAGGGGCUGGGAGGGACAAAGAAGGUAAAGUUUAUUACCGGUCAGGUAUCAAACGUUUGGCUUUGCAGGAUCAUUUACUGUUCUUUGGUUCCUUAACCUGCGUGUCCGGAGUCUAUGGUUGGGGGCAUUCGUAGGAUUUGUGGCUCUCUUGUUAUUAUCCAGGUUGUGGAUGACGGAUUAUCGUUGCCCCCUUUUCUGCGGAUGCCCGUGCGUCCUGUUUCGGAGGUAGGUUUUACGUUUUGAGAGUUGGAGGUUACAACUGGGAGCUCAUGGAAAGAGUGCUCAAGUUCUGGAGCACUGGAGUAUCGGAUUCGUUGGGCAUGUGUUGCAGGAGGUUGUUAAGGGUGUCGAGUGUGUGUGGGAGUUGAUGGAGUAGAGGACAUGGGGGAUUUUGAAUUGAAGGCGUUUUAGGGCUUGGGGCUGCUAGUCCAGGUGUUGCAGUUUGCAGUGGAGCUUUGAGGAGGAGGUGAAGAAUUGAGGGAGAGUUUACUGUUGAAGUGAUAGGAGGGAGUCUGCACUUGCAACGAUGGCUGUUGCGGCAUUCAAAUCCACGACCCGUCGACAGUGGGACAUACGGGGGGUAGAGAUUGAGCCAUACUCUUCGCUGAACACGAGCCCGACGAGACGGUCUGUGUCGCGCAAUAUCUCUCCAACGCGCCGUUCGACGUCACGUAACCCUAGUCCAACUCGCCGCUCAACGUCAAAAGCUCCAAGUCCCACACGUCGUCGUUCGACAUCCAAAGAUCCUAGUUCCACGCGCAGACGUUCAGUUUCGAAGGCUCCCAGUCCAACUCGCAGACGUGCGGUGUCCAAGGCUCCUAGUCCAACUCGCAGACGUUCGGUGUCCAAGGCCCCCAGUCCAACUCGCAGACGCGCGACGUCUAAAGCUCCCAGUCCGACUCGCAGACGCUCGACGUCCAAAGCUCCCAGUCCUACUCGUGGUCGUCGCGGAGUGUCGCGCAAUCCAAGCCCAACUCGCCGCGCCGUAUCCAAAGCUCCGAGCCCCACGCGCCGGGCCGUAUCGAGAGUUGUGAGCCCUGUGAAAGCCAGGAGGCGCUCGCCCUCGCGAAAUCCAAGUCCCACUCGCGGACGUAGAGGUGUGUCACGGGGUCCGAGUCCAACUCGGGCUGCUCGUCUGACCCAAGUCACUCCUCCAAGCACUCAAUCUCACCCCGCCAGUCCAUCAAGACGACGGGAGCCUUCUGUAGGACUUCGCUCCCGUGCCACUUCUCCCCAGAGGAGCAGCAUCGUCAGGCCUGGGGAGCGCGUCCGUCGAAGAACUACUAAUGCUGCCACUACCGACGUGCCUUAUUCACCAUUUCUUCCCGGCUCUCCUGGUGCCUCCGAUUCUUCGCUCAUUCCGACUCGUCAGAGUGGAAUUGGGUUAAGGGGAUCGUCUCGGAUGGUCCCGAGCGAUUCCGAGAGAAGUACGGUCAGGACUCUUGCGAGCGACUCUGAGAGCGAGGUAGAGCCACGGUACAUGCGGAGAGCGGAUAGGACCGGAAGCAUAAGCACUCACCGGGAUAGCUCCGAUAACGAGAGCGUUCAGUCGUCAAGAUCUACAAGGAGGAACCCAAUUGGAAUGCGAGAUAGAGUGUCGCGAAGAACUUCGAGCACGCAAAUGGAGGUGCGAAGGUCAUUGGCCAAUUUGGAGCUCUCAGACUCAGCUACACCAGUCUACUAUCAGAAACCCAAACCUGCAAGUGUGGAGGAUCAUCACCAUCGCAUUGUUGGAAGAACCGAUGGAGACGUCCAAGUGGAGGGGAGAAUUGAGGAGAAGACUAUUCAAGAGGUUCACACGCAAACGAAAGUUCAUACCCUAUGUUACAAUUGCCUGUAUGAUGUGUCUGCGCCCACGGAUGCUCCUGUGGAUGCUGUAUCUCCCGUAGGGCCCAUAAAAUUGAAAGUGCUUGGCACUUCGAGAGAGGCUCCUGCGCCUGGAGACGUAGACUUCAUGGCUUUAUACACCGCGAGAUGUGAAGAGCUUCGGAAAGCUGUGUCAGAUGCGAGGAACGAGCUGGAGAAUGUCAAGGAGGAGAGUCUGCGGAAAGUUAUAGAAGCCAAGUUGGAGGUUUCAGAGAGGAAAGUCUCGGAACUUUGGUCACAGUAUGCCACCGAGGAACAAAGAUGUCUUCAUCUGGUGAAUGCUGUGAAGGACAUCAAAGAAGGGUCCGUAGACUCUUUGGAUGUGGAAACGGACGAACUACAGCAGCGGAUUCCUAUUCCGGUGGAGGACAUGAAGCCCCAGCACAAUCACCGAUAUCCAAUGGAGGACAUGGACGAGUCGGACUUUAUUAGACAAUCCCUAGAUGAGGAAGCGGCACGGUACUUUGAGGAGUGCGCGAUCAUUGCAAACUUCGAUGCAAAUGUCAUAGAUGUAGACGACAUAUCCGUGAGUAGUGGCAGGGUGAGUGACGGCGAGACGACGGUGUGUGACGAUCUCAGACCAUCUUCGAGGAGACAAAGCUCGGAUAGUCAAGAGGUAGUGUCGAUAAGGAAGAAGGAGAUUAAACCCCUUGAUGAUGAGGGCAUGCUAUUGCCUUGGUUGGAUUGGGAACCGGAAGUCGAUCUCGGAAGGAAGGAGCGCAUUGAGAAAGCAGUAUGCGACUUUCGAGAAUGGAAGAGUGCAUGGGCUCAGAAGUCAGUGGAGUGGGGGAGGAGUUCUAAUCGGGAGCGAGGAAAAGAUGAAGGUGUCGUGAACGUUGACGAGUUCCUGUUUGAGAGGACCCGAUUGCAACCUCGCAUUUCACAAGGCAGGAUGCUCGUCUGCGGCGGAAAGCGGUGACUGAAUUGUGACUUUAUGAGAGAAGAACGGGGUGAGUUGUGUGGAUGGUGCAAGUGUAUUUUAUCGGUAUCUCAUCUAUGUGAUGACUGUCGUCUGCUUAUCUCCUCGGAGCUGAUUUCUCCCUAGGUUUGGAGGUAGUGGUCAGCUUCUGCCAGAUAUCUUUUAUCUUGCUUCUUUCAGUCACCACCCAGAUGGUGUCCAAUCGAUACCGAUUUCUUUUACGGCUUAGUUUUCGAAUUCUCCCUCCCCUGUCAGUCUGAAGUGAGGUCUGUGGCGCCAUCUCGCGGAGUGGGUGACUAUGAAUCACAUGAUAGAAAAUGUCUUCCCCUUAAAGAGUUGAUCAGCAGAGUUGAACCUAACGUUUCAUCGGCAAAUGUUAGAAUACAGUAUAGUUUUUAGCAUUGUCUUCUGAGCACGAAUAUCUCGGAGGCUGCUGGAGAGGGUAACGGCUGUCUAUGAGGAGGUAUAGUACCUCUGUAGACUCAGUUUUGAUGUUAAUACAUCUCCGUUGCCGAGUUUUAGUAAUCUCGUUUGCAAGGAAGACCCUGUAUCACUAGUGUUCAUCGCUUUGUGUACUAUUUUUUUGAUUGGAAGCGAGUGCCAUGUAUGAAGCUUAGAUUGAAACGACGAAGAAUUCCUUCAGUCGCCCACAAAAUUUCUCUCUGGGGUGUAACAGAUGAAGAUGUAAAGCAAAAUUUCAUUCACGAAAUCCACUCCUGAAGGCUGGAGAGGAUGAUGUAGUUUAUGGCGGGUAAAGAGCAUGGAAUGGAUUACUUGAUUCGUUGGAACAUGUUGAACAUGACUACUUGGAUAUCAUUCUCAAGGAGAUGCAGAAUUGACGGCAAGAAUUGCCUGUUACAACCAGCAGCUAGAAGAAUAACUACGAGCUACGUUUGUUACCUUGAUCUUCCCUUGAUUCGUAAAAGUCAAAGUUUGUAAUGUAUUGUACCACUUUCUGGAUUGUCAUUUCACUUCAAUCUGAAUAGAGAGCUGUGGUUUCCAAAUCAUCUUGUAAUGGUCUUUUAUGGCCCAUAUAGAGGUUCACUGCUGUGCACUAUUUUGAUUCUCACUCUUGGUUGAAUACAUCCAACUUUCGGUUUCGCUUUUGUUAGGACAAUUUCUGCAGAGAUGUGCAAUCCAAGUGUCAAUCCGCCGCAGCAUCCCCGAAAUAUUGUAAGCAUCAAUAUUUUAAGUUGAUCACUCCAUGACUUUGGUUUGUAUCUAGUAAAAAGUCUGUUGAAUGUUUCAAACUUAUCCUACUCUAUUGUUUUGAAUCAUUUAGCUCACAAUAGUACAACCUUGUUAAACUCGUAGAGUAAAUGUGCAUAUGCUGUUACUAGUUGUACCACUAGUCACCCAUCUUGGGAAUUCCAUUUCGUGGAUGUUUGCAAGACUUUGAGGAAAGGGUAAUAUAUAUGGUAGUGAAAUAAAACGAAUAAAUGAAAUUUGCACGUGUUACUUUGGUAGUAAUGUUGAAAAUGAGUAGCCUUUUCCACUUUUGAAAUUCACUCAAAAGAAACUGAGCAUGUUAUAUUAAAUUUACUUAGCAAAGCUUAUGACUUCAAUAAGAUUUGUUUUGUGUAUGAGUCCUUAAAUGUUUGGUGAAAUGUUUUUAAUCAUAAGUUCAUUACAACUAAAAAAAAUUAAAGUGCCAAUUGGUUAACUAGAUGAUCUAUUGUCUUUGGUAUUAGUUUUUGAAUAGGAGUAUAGAUAAUUGAAGGUCUAUAGUUUUUAGAGUAGUAAAGUAUGUAUUUGUAGCAAGACAAUAUUGAGGUUACUUAUAGGAGUGUUUGAAUUUAGGAAGUUGUAGGCCAAAACCAUAGAAUAGUUCAAAGUGUUGUAAGCAUUUAGAUUAGAGACAAAAGCAUGAAUUUUAAAAAUCAAAUUAAACCAAAAAUAAAUUAUAAUAUUUUUUAGAGUUUUAUUAAGUAAAUAUUAAUAAAUUUAAUGUCUUAUGGCUAUUAGAAAGUAUGAGAGAGAAUAAAAAUGAGAGGAAUUAAGAUUAAGCUAUCUAUAAUAUAAUGGCACAAAACUCUCUAUUAAAUCUCAAAUAUAUACAAGAUCUAAUGAUAGUUCUUAGCACUCACAAUUAAUAAGAUUGCUUCCACCAAACAAAACGUUUUUAAGAUAAUAUUUUUGUUACCUAGUUAUGUUAGAGAAGUUAUGUCGGAUUUAUUAUAAAUAGAGAGGUUUAUGUUAUUAAGGUGGAUAAUAAUGUAAUAAAGAAAAAAUUAGAGUUCUUGGAAAAGCAUGUAGUUAUAACUUGCUAUACUAUAAACAAAUGUCUAAUAAAGAAAUGUGUCUGCUAAUUUAUUGUAUUAGAAAAAUUUUCCAAAGUCACAUAUAGUAUAAUACCUUACAUAAAAAAAAAUAUAUGUAUAUAUAUAUAUAUAUAUAUAUAUAUAUCUCAAAAAUACUACAAGACUUAAAAAAACAUGAAUAAAAAUGCUAAAACACAAAGAGUCACAUGAUGAUAUAAUUGUCAGAAGCUACCUAAUUCUAUAGAUUAAUGAAUGCACUUGUUGUCUUUUAAUAUAUGUCGUCUUCCAACCAAGGAUAAUCAUUUUCUGACAUUUGUUAUCUUCCAACACCUCUUCUUGCACUCAUUCCUCUACACUCGUUUAUUAUUGUUCUUUAGUUAUCAAACAAAUUUAAUGGAAAUUUUUAUUAUUACUAUAUUUUAACAUUCAAAGAUGUCAAAUAGCUGGGUACAAUAUUUACUGACAACUGCAGUGAUCUAAAUACUGAAGCAAGUCUAAACAAAAAUCAGAACUCCUGCAAGAACUACGAUAUAGGAUGUUGCAAAAGUACUUAAGCUCGGGAACGCUUCGCAGGAGUGCCCUCCUCUUCGUAACCCCCCCGAUCGUCAUUCUCAUACCCACCACCUUUACCAGUCUUUCUGCGAUCCAAUAUCUUAUUGAUUUUGUGAAGCUCAUUGGUAAGCUUCUGGUCUUUGUUUUGCUUUCGUGUUUUGCGGCCAUCCUGCAUUUUAACUCCAAACUGGAAUGCAGCUUUAGGCAUAGCUUCUUUUUGCUCAUUGUAUUUAGCCCAAUCAUCCUCAGACUCGAAAUCCCAACGAUGCAACCUUCCUUUGGCCUGCAACAACAGAGCAUAGGCAUUAUUAACCAAGCGUUAAAUGAAAGCUAUCUAAUCAACCAUGUAAGAAGAUAGCAUAAAGGGUUAUGUACGUACUCUGCCACCCAUAUCCAUCUUGGUCAGAUCUUCGUCAUCGUCACUGCCCACAAUUUCACGGUUGUACUCUUGAUAUCCAGGGUAACAUUCAGAAUAGCUCUCUGAGAUAAAAUUGGGGUCCUUCUCACGAACAUCACGUUCUCUACGUUGCUGCAACCGCUGAUCAUCACGCUUGAAGACAGACCCAAGCCCCCUGUCUUUCUCUUCUUGCGUCAUCAAGUGUGGAUCUCCUUGAACCUCCGGAUUUGCAACCUGAGUUUUUCAAUACUAAAUCUCAGUAACAAUAGUAAUUACUUUUGUACAAAAUCACAAAAUAUUCACAACUAGAGCUAAUUUCCCUGAAUAUUAUAAACGACCAAAUCAAUACCAUCGGUAUAGGUGGCAAACUUUCUGUUAAACAUAUAGAAUCUGAUACCACAAGCAUAUAAACUCCAAAAAACAGACUUUAUAAACGUCACAACCUCAAUAAACAAAGUAAGUUAAACAUAAGAAGUGAAGUAAAAUAAGAUAAGAAGAAGAAACUCACGGCUGCAGUUGGAUAAUGUUCCAUAUAUCCAGGAUACUGCUCAGGUUGCCAUGGUCCUGCAUAUUGUUCUGGAGGAGGUUGUGGAUACUCAGUCCAUUCUCCUGAUGCAUACGGCAUUGCUGGUCCUUGAACAGAAGCAUCAUAGGUGGCCUGAUGAGAGCAGAUUUUUAUUAGCAACUGAGACAAAUUCUCAAACUGCUCCUCACAAUAAAAUAAAAAUAAACAAAAAAUUUAAAAAUUGUAGAAAUUAACGACUUGUACUGUCAAAUUUACAUGCUGAAAGUUCCCACGAAUAUGAAAACUCACAAACGGCCAUGUUGUAAACAAGUUUGCAUUAAAAGAUCUAAAAACUUAAAUUUAAUUAAAUUUAUAAAAAUAAAAAAUAAAAAUAAAAAUAAAAAAAAGAAGAAGAAGACAUCCCAAUGUACCUUGAACGACAUAUUAAGAACUAGUUAAGUAAUAUGUACAAGAGAAUGUACCAAGAGAAAGAAAGCUAUACAUACUUGAUGCUGCCAGAUUGGAUUCAAGUCUUGAGAAGGUGGCAUGGGACCAUAAUGUUCACCAAAGUAAGGUCGUUCAUUAUCCCGACCAGGAGACUCCUCCAUAUCCUCAGACUUGGGGCUGUCGUUGUCUCGUACUGUUGGCACAUAAUCAGUCCCUACACCUUCGAAAAUAUCAUCAUCCCUAGAAGGUGGAUGUGGAGGUGGAGGAGGAAGUGGAAGAUUGCUAACAGCAGCCUGAUCUAUACUAAUUGAUUCCCUCAUUUCACCAAACCUGCGAGGUGGAAGGGGGGGAGGUGGUGGGAGGUUCUCCCACUCAUGGGACCUAUUUGCUGUCCCGUUAGUAGCGCCUCUCUCCCCGUCGUGUAAAGGUGUUUCACCCCCCAGAGAUACACUUUUCGCUGCAAUCCGUACCAUGAUUCAUACCACAAUGUUAAGGCCCAUUCAAUCCAUUCAUGUUUAAAAUCACCCGACAUCCUGGAAGUAGUGGAUCCACAGUUCUAGUACACUGAACUAUCUCAAUCUACAGGUCUAGUGUAGUAGCAAUGCAAAUGUGGUAUACAAAUGUAAUCUUCCAAACAAGCUUGUAGCCCUGGACAGUCUGUACAUUUCCAGAAGAGAGGUCAUGAAGGCAUAUUACCUCUAGAUUCCUUGUCUUUCUUCUUCUUUUUCAAGGGCUGUACAAGAAACAUAACGAAAUAAACACUCAAGCACUCUUCAUAACUAUCAAUAUAUAUACACACACGAACAAACAAAUAAUGACUGGCUCUGAUGCUAGCAUAAUAUGAAGAUGAUAUGAAGACUAUAUAAUUUCAUGCUCCUAGCUGAAUCAAGACCAAAUUUCCCUGUGUUCUAAAAAGCAACAGUCGCUACGUUUGUCACAGUGCUUGAAUUUAUAUACACUGUGACAUUGGACAAGAUUUUUUAAAGUAGGAAAAAGAGAAAACCUUCCCGGCACCCAGACGAAGAUACGUCAUGAUCUUUGCAAUGCGUUCCAGCACUGUCCCAUCCACACCCACUGUGACUGUUUCCUGCAAGGAUUACGACACAUUGUGAGCAUGUUGUUGCCAGCUCCGAAGUCACUUGGCGAUCAUAAAAAGAUUUCAAUGCCAGUAAAGAGCAUCGCAGAAAUAACCAAAGGCAGAAUGAUUCAAAAAAAAAAUGCCGCAUGGGAGAGAAAAAAAACAAAAAAACAAAACAAAACAAAACAAAAAAACAAAAAAACAAAAAAACAAAAAAAAAAACGCAGGUAAAAAUAGAAAGCUCGCCAGCCAGCCAAGAAAGUUAGCCGAUAACAGACCUGUGGAGGAGGACAAUCUGCUUUACUUCGAUGAACAGUAGUAGGGAUGUCAUGUGCAAAUUCUCCAUCCUACAUCACAAGAAUUGAAAGAGAAUUUAACCAUCCAUCACUGAUUAUAAUGCCUGACUAACUGCUGGCAAACUUCUAAGGAUUUGUUGAACUUAAGAGGCCGUCGAUUUUCAAAUGGAUACAAAAUUUCAUCCUCCAUAAAGUAGGAUAUUGAAAGUUAGAAAUAGUUCACCAUGUCGAAUACAAACGCUGUACGUCCUGGUAGAAACAUUGAAUUGACUUUACUAACUGUCUGCGGCUUGCAAAUCCAUUGAUACACCAUCUGCACACAAAUGUUCGGCAGCAAAGCUAUAAAAAGAGUAAAGGGGUGAUUGGCAAUGUGUCGUGAGCUACUAAUAACGAUAAGCUCACCUAUCAAAUUCUAAAUCUCGUCUGUAAGAAAUACGAAUACAAAUUCCCCAGGUCACAAAACUCAGAGGACUUUCAAUAAUCUCGUAACACACUCGUCUGUCUACACGUGAUUUUAGUCAUCAUUACAAAGUCUUAAUAACCCUGAAUAAUCCAUGUGAUUGACUUGUGACAAAAUAAAACCUGUCAGAGCACUGCACUCAGCUACUCACAGGUUCUGAUUGGUUAUACCUUAGCAGUAGCCGUGCGAAAUGCCAUGGUUUGAUCUUCUUUCUGCUGCCUGUCAAAACAUAAACGUUACCACUAGAAAUCAGCUGAAUAUUAAUUAAAUGACACUGUACAUAGAAAACAUCGAAAUGCUCAUCUCGUAAACAGACCAUCCGAGGGCAAGUAAACCCCACAGCAAUAGAAACCAUCAAUGAUUCAACAAAAUCCAAGAUAACACAAACACCAUAGAGUACCUCUGACUAGCAGGAUCCUCAUUCUCAGGUUCUUUGUCAAUCUCACUCCUAACUUUGUGCAGAAGAGCAAAAUCAAGCCCCUUCACCAAAUGCGUGUGCUCAACAUCACCUACAAUGAAGGGUGUCAGAAUUGAUACAAAACAGGCGUACGUUUGAACUGAGCGAAGCCUUCCGAGGUACUUCAUUCAUGCUAAUACGACGUUGGGCACGACACUGAAGUUGGGACGACUUACCUCCAAGAAACUUGGAAUUCUCGAUAGAAAUUCUGUGUGCAUCGGUUAACCUGAAAUGAAGCCCAAAACAGACUAUGAUUAAUAUGGGUUUAGGAUAAUGCUGCCGUUCAGCGUGGAGAUCAGAAUCCUGUCCCUCUGAGGGAAAAAAAACAAAAAACGAGGGAAACUUACAAACGUGUAAAACCAGGAUUGUAGGAUUCAGAUACCUCAUGUCAGCUGUGCCCGGGGGUCCCAAAGCAUGCAAUGAACCAAGCUCAGCAGAUGUGUGAUCAUAAUCGGGAUUGAUAUCCUCCCGCCUCUCCUUAGCUCGAUCACGAUACCUCGGUAGAUUGGCGUCCUCGCCAGCAUUCUCCUCUCUAAAACAAUUCCAUGUUGUACAGGCGUUAAAAUGCGAGUUCAAGCUUAAAAGUCCCAGUAGGUAUCCAUUCAUAAAAGUGUGCUGAAGAGUGCAGUAAUAAAUCAUGACUAACAAAUCAGUGGUUACGACCUACUUACUUCAAGGACCAGUAUGUAGAAACGCGCAAAAACUGUAAACAGCGAACUGUAAAAGCUUAGAAGUACAACUCUCACAGUAUGAGCAAAGCUGUUACCUCAUUCACAGAAACUGGGCCAACGAUUUAGAAGUGGCCUUGUCAAAUAUUGAUAAUGCUAGUUUUCAAAAAAUGGAAAGAAGGAAGCACAAAACGUACUCUUUCGGCUUAGGACGAAAUUUGCGCUCCUUCCGCUUCUCGCCAUCGACCUCACCAUCAGCACCAUCCUCGGCACGCCUCGGACGACUACAAGUUCAACCAAAAAUUCAUAAAAAAAGCUUAAGAAAUUGAAAUAUUGGACAAUGAAGACAAACGUUGGAGAACAGCACAUGACUACUUUCAUGUUCCUAAAAAUUCCAAUCACCAAGAAUUUGAGCUUAACACUCUGAAGAUACUUAGAUUAAACUCAUAAACCCCUAGUAGUUGCUGCAUAUGUACGUAAACUUCUUUAAUGCAAAAUAGAACAACAUGAUAAAUCAACGACAGAAAGGACCCAACAAAAAAUCAAAUAACAACAAACUCUGAAGCAUGAUAAUAUCAAAACCGAUAAUAGCAAGAGAGCGUCCAACCCUCGAGGCCGCUCUUUCUGUUUGUCCUCCCCUCGUCGCGGCGUGUCCAUCACCAUCUUCCGAAAAUCAGCAUUGGACAAAUUCUCGGCACGAGCUGCAGCUGCAUCUAAGCUCUCCCUGCGAUUAUUCUUGCCCUGUGGCCGGGGCGGUGGCGGCAGCGGAUUCGAGAUUGGCAUGUCGUCCAUUUCCUCCUCAGAACCCAUACCUUCACGCUCUCUAUCAAAAACCCUGGCUCUUGAAAAGCUUCAAAACGAACACAAGAAAAUGCCCCCACGAACCCUACUCCAAUCUGCAAAACCCUCCAAAUUCAUACAAAACCCACGUAUUGAGAAUUCGGAUCCAGAAAACGCCAGCAUUAAUCGCACCCCAACUUUCCGAAAUCCAAUCCUAAGGGUUAAUAAAUGUUUGUAGUUGUAAAGCGCCUUCAUACUUACCGUUCUCACUGAAAUGACGUCCAAAUUCGAUGCUGCAAAUUCAAGCGGACAGCCUGCUGGCUAAAGUUUCGCGAGCGCCUUCACAGCAGCGAUGUAUUCCCAUCAUCAAGCGCUUCAGCAGCACAAAAUCCUACUGUCCGCCAUAGCACACAAUCGGCCUGUGCGAAACAGCAGCGGGCAGUUCCAGGCCCUCGUCGAUGGAGACUGCGGUCAUGGGAGGAGCACCGUUUAAAGAAGACUAUCUCAGUCUGGAUGCAAGACCGUGGUCCUUCUCGUAUUGUUGAAUUGAUUUUGUAUUCUUUACUAAAGUUUUUUCAGAAAUGAAUCAAAUAACUUCAUUUGUCUAUGCAUUUUUUUAAUAUGUAUAUAUUAUUAAAAUAAUAAUACCAAUUCUAUCUUAUUCAAUUGCUCAAUGUCACUUUAUAUAUAUAUAUAAAGUGACAUUGAAAAUAUAUAUUUGUAUUCCAUAAAUAUCUCUUACUCCUUUAAAGAGUAUCUGAAGUUUGUGUAACUCAUAAGAUUUUACAUUUAAAAUAUUUUCAUUAUCGUGUUAUUAUAUUAACAAAAUUAUUUUUCUUAAGUUUGAGAUAAAAUUAGCAUUUAAACUUAAAUUGAAUUUCUACAAAAGUUUUGUGUGUGGCCUCAUGAGAUUAUUUUUCAUAACAAGAACCUAUCAUACAUUUAUAUCCAAAUAAUUUUGAUUGUGGCUAGUAUUAUCAUGCUCGGGUUUUUAUUGUACAUAAGUUUGGGUAAUGUUUUUGUAAAAUAUUAAUAAAGUAGUAGUAUAUGUAGUAUACUUUUUUUUUUUUUUUUUUUUUUUUUGAUUGCUUCCUUUUUAAACCAAAUUUUAGUCAUUUCAAUAUUUGAGUUUGUAUCAAUGAUGAUUUUAUCUGGCAAUAAUAAUUUCAAAUUCCUUUUACAAUCAAUACUUUAAACUUUACCUUCAAGAUAUGUUAUUACUCAAAUUUUAAAUAUUUAUAAUGAUUCAUAAAAUAAAAAUAAAACAGUAUUUUGGUUUAUAUAUAUAUAUAUAUAUAUAUAUAUAUAUAUAUUUAUCAUUUCCUCAUUUAUGUAGUAUGUUUUUUAAAAUUUACAAUAAUAAUGUAUUAAAAUAGUUUUUUAGUUUAAUAUUAAUAAUAUUAAUAGUUUGAACCUUAAAUUAUUUUUCUUUAUUUUUAGUGUAGAUGUGAUUUUAAUAAAAACAUGGAGUAUAGAUAUUUUCUAUUUUUAGAAUUUAUUUUGAAUAGUAUCACAUUGAUAAAAUCUAAAAUUAAAUAUUAUACCAUGUUGCUUACAAAAGGUGUCUUUGAUUACAGAUUUUAGAAUGGAUCUUGUCUAGUGCAUAAGACCUAUGGAUCUAGUCAUGGAUGCAAGAAUAACUAUUCUCUCUCUCUAUAUAUAUAUAUACACAUUUCAAUCAGUUUACUUUUUACUAAAUACUUGAUUAUCAGCAAAUGUUUCCUAUUAAAUAUUAUAAUAAUAGAAAAUCCAUCCACCUUUCAGUCCGUCAACCAUGUCAUCCAUCUUCCGCCAUCUCUCAUCAUCCAUAACGCGUCGUUCGUUAUUCGUCUUAUAUCAUCCAUCCGUCGAACCCCAUCGUGUUGGCUUCGGGCUUCGGCGGAAUAUCGCAGUUCAUUGGUCUCACUUCGUUUGUGCCUUCAUCGCCAUAGCCAGUCCAUUCGGUUCUCCCUCGGGAUCCAUCUCCGGGCCCACAGCCUGCAGAACAACCGAUUCGCAUCCCUGGUUUCCUCUGAAAGUCCCUUACAUCAGCUGCGGAAAAUGGAGUGACCUCCGUGUCGAUAACCAGGGCGGCGAGCUUUCAGAGAAGUUGGUGAGUGCCGGUGUCCAUGCGCGUCUUGCAGCACCUGCAACGAUACACCGUGAGACUGUAAAAAAGUGCUUGAGUCAUCCUCGUCUUCAAAGUUGCACGUCACCUUCAUGGAUUGUCUCGACAUACAGUUUUCUAGCAGGAGAGGGCGCUCCGAAGCGGGGACGAAGCGCUUCCGAAGGGUGUACUUAGUACAUAUGUGUACACGUCGUACUCGCAUGAUGUAGGAUUCAAUUGCAUGCUUCAGGACUGGGAUUUGGUAGAUCUGUCCGCAUCCUUCCGGGACUGCUUGCACUUUCGUCUCGGAGAUUGUUUAUGAGAUCUUAAUGUGCGUUCCGAGCUGCGCUUUUUAGCGAUCUUGAGAGUGGCAGUUCAGGAACGCUACAUUUUAGGUGGUGUGCGUGAGGUGUUUAGGUUUAGCAUCUGUAAUUGGUGAGCGUGUUCAAGCUUCUGUCGCGAUUUCACAGUCUGAUAACCAUGAGUGACUUGUUUAAGGGCAUUUGGAAGGGCGGGAAGGGCGGGAAGGUAGGAAAUGGCGAAGAUACCUUCGGAGAUGUUGAGAGCGGUUGUGUGAUUCAGAUGACAAGCUUAGACGCAGAUCCGAGUAGCAUGGCAGAUUUUUUUCGUGAGAUAGGGGUAGUGCAAGGGAAAGUGAACGAUGUCAAAAUCCUUCUCCUUAAGCUCCAGAGCGCACAUGAGAAAACCAAAGGAACUCACAAGGCAAGCGAGCUGAAAGAGAUUCGGGCGGAGAUGGACGGUGACAUAGAGUCCGUGACUAAAGCGGCGCAAUUCAUGAAGUUCAAACUGGCAGAGCUGAGUAAAUCGAAUCUCGCUAAUCGGCAAGUGAAGGGCUGUGAGGAGGGAACCACCACAGACCGCCAGAGAAUGGCAUUGACGAACAGCCAACGCAAGAAACUUAAGGAGCUCAUGGACGAGUUCCAGGCGCUGCGUGCAACAAUGAUGGACGAGUACAAGGAAACCAUCACUCGCAGGUAGGUCCCGAUCACCAUAGAUACACUCUUCAAAAAAAAAACAAAACAAAACAAAACAAAAACAAUAACAAAACAAAACAAUUAGAACGUUUCGUCAUUGCAAUAAAUUUCUUCACAUGCCUUGGACUGAUCGCGAUGUGUUUCAUGCAGGUACUACAACGUCACCGGGAAGCAAGCCGACGAAGAAACUACAGAGAACAUGAUCCGCACCGGCGAGAGCGAAACCUUUCUGCAACAAGCCAUCCGACAGCAAGGCCGAGGCCAACUAAUCGAGACCAUCCGAGAGGUUCAGGAACGGCACGACGGCGUGAAGGAGAUCGAGCGGCACUUCAUGGAGAUUCACAACAUCUUCACGGACAUCUCCGUGCUGGUGGAUGCGCAGGGCCAAAUGGUGAACGAAAUCCAGGACAACAUCAAUCGCGCGACGUCUUUCACGCACCGCGGUGCCGAUCAAUUGGCGACCGCGAGGCGGCGUCAGAUCAGAAAACGGAAGUGGACCUGUGUGUCCAUCUUGUUGCUCAUUGUUCUCAUCCUUGUCCUGAUCAUCGCCUUAAAAAUUGCUAAAAUAAUUCCAUAGGAAAGCUCAGAAAUCUGAGCUCGCUCUUGAAAAACAGGGGAUGGCGCAGGUUCACCGGCAAACUUACGUUACCCCGUGGACACUUGCUCUUUCCUCGAAGCCUCGAUCAUUGACCUGAAUUCUCGGGGUCAACCCGCAAUUGCGUCGAAAUUUGUGCCAGUUAAAUUAAUAGGUUUUGAAUUGAGGCGUUCGAGACUCGGCUUGCUUGGGGUUGGACCAAUGAGCAUUAUUGGAUUUAUCAAACACUACUAUUUUACGUGAUUUAGGGUUGGCAAGGCUAACAUUGAUAAGGCUAACAAACUACAACAAAUAUUUUUGACUUGUUGUAACAAAAUGAAUCAUACGUGUGCAUAUACAACUAUUUUAUUGUUAUUUGUAAUACUUGAAUGGAUUUAUGUAUGAUUGGGUAAUAUAUUGCAAUAUAAAGUUUUGUGGGUUGGUAAGAGAAGUAUGUUAUUAUUAUUAUUAUUAUUAUUAUUUAUAUAUUAGUUUAUUUUAAUAUUCAUAUAUUUUCAAAAUAUAAUUUAUAAUUUCUGAUAUCUUCUCUUAUUAUGUUGAAUAAAACAUUUAAAGCUUCAGUGGACUCAUAUAUGUGUUUGAUUUUUCUUAUAUAGCAGAUCAGUGACAAUUUGGUUUCGAACAUAAAAUAAAAAUUGUGAUGAAAUAUAGUUUACUGAUAUUUUUCGGUAAUUUUUUUUAAGUAUGUUUUUGAAAAUUUGAAAUUAAAAAUAAUUAAUUAAGAAUUAAUAAACAUAUAAAAUCCUAUUGAUUCUGUAACAUACUCUGUUAAUAUUAAGUAGGUAUAAAAUUCUUUGCAAUGUGCAAAUAAUAGAAACAAUAAAAUUAUAUUAUUUGAUAAAAAAAUAUUAUAAAAAUUUAAAAGAAACAUUUUAUUUUAAUAUUUUUUUAUGUAUACAAAUUAAUUCAACUAUUAAUGCAAGUGGUAAUCCAAUAUUUUCAACUUGUUUCUUUAAUCUAAAAUAGUUUAUCACUUUCAAUAAUUAUGUUUUAAUUUUUUAUGUUUUAUUUAAUUAGCAUAUAUAUAUAUAUAUAUAUAUAUAUAUAUGCACAUACUUCUUUCUUUACUGCAUGUGUUAUUACAUCUUUGUGUAUUAUAAACUUACUAAAUAACUAUUUAUCAAUAUGAAUCCAAAUUAUUUUGUUGAUAAUUUUAAUUUGUAUUGCUUUCAUUGUGAUUUAUAUCAAUGAUACAAAUUAAAGCACUUAUAUGUUUUUGCCAUCCGGGCUUGAUUUUGUGAUUUUAGUUUACAAUAAUUAUCUUUUUACUGUGAAAUGAUCAUGAUGUAUUUGCACUAAAUUUGUAAUACAACAAAAAAUGGAUUGAUGUUGUGCUUAAGUAGGAAGUCAACUGAUUGAUUAGGUGAUUGAAAUAUAAAUCAGAUUUGACAUCAAAGUUUGGGAUUUAUUUUUUAGAUUAUAAAAUAAAUCAUUUCAAGCAACAUUAUUUUAUUUUAUAUUAACAACAAAUUAACCACUUCUCAAUGCAUGUAUAGGAACCAAAAUACAGUACCCCAAAAAUGAUGAUGUUCAUUGUGGUAAAAAGUACUUACAAUGUUCACUGUUAUGACAAAAUUGUGAGGAUAUUUAAUUAUAUAUAUAUAUAUAUAUAUAUAUAUAUAUCUUAUAUCAAUGUGAAUAUAUCCUAUUACAAAAAAUAAUAUUUAAUAGUAUUGUAAUUAAAUUUAAUAAUCAAUCAAACUAGAUAAGUUUAUUAUUAUUAUUAUUAUUAUUGUUUAUAUUUCAUAAUGAGACAAUUUUUAUUGUAUGAAAUAAAUUUAAAAAUAAAAAAUAUUUUUUAAAUAUAAAAGACACAAUCUCAUAACUUAAUUAUUGCAUUAGAUAUAUCAAAACUUGAAAUGAUUAUUAAAACCAACUUGAUAAUUUUGUGUACUUUUAAUGAAAAAUAUAAGUUGUUUUAUGUGUUAUCACAAGGCCUCUUAAUACUAGGACUUUCCUUGAAAUACCUAAUUUAGCUUAUUUUAGGAUCAUAGUCAAGUUUUAUUUAAGGUAAAUUUGAAAUGGAUGAAAUUCAUCUAUAAAGUUGUCCAAAAACAUCAAUCCUCAUCAAAUUAAAGAAAGUCCAUCAAAUUGUUUAAAGGGUAGAAUACUCUUAAGCAAAAAAUCCAUGAGGCAUUGCCUAUACUUGUUUUUCUCCCACUCAAUCAUGGAGAUGUCACAUUUGACAAUGAUAAUAUUACAAAAAUAGAGGCCAAUCUUCUACAAUUUUUUUGAAGUUGUGAAAAUUCACCAUCACAAUGACUCCAUCUAACAUAAUUUUGCUUUUGCAAAUUAGAGUAUUUAUCAACAAAGUCCUUGAAGAUGAUCUCCUUGUCAUAAAUAUGCACCAUAGUUUGGUGGUCAUUUUCAAUAUCCUUGAUGGAUUGAGCAUCCUACCUAGCUGAUUCUACCAACAAUUUGUGCUGAUAGAUAGAAAUGUAUAAUAGAGAUGUUUGUAAUGCACACAAAUUAAGGAGCAACACUUGUCAAAGAUACAAUGUAAAAGAGAUCCAACAAGAAAUAAAACAAAAGAAUUUCAAUAAGAAAGUUAAUAAGAACUUAUUUAAGUAGAUAAGUAUAAGAUUAAUACCAAGAGAGGCAAGCUAGAGCUACAAAAAAUAUAUUUUUGAGACUAAAGAUUCCCUCGAUCUUGACUCCAAUAUAUAUUAGGUAUUAAGAAGCUUCUUAAGAAGUUUCUAUAUUGGUUAAAGAUGAAGCAACCUUAGAAAGCUCCUCAAGAAAUUCCUAUGUUGCUUGAAAAUAAAACAAUUCUAAGAACCUUCUAAAACAACUUUUUUAAUUCUCUUAAAACUUUUUAGAACCUAUUAAAAUAUUCUAAAAAUAUUUUAGAAUCUUCUAAAAUAUUAUAAGAAUAUUCUUAAAAUCUUCUUAUUGGAUGUCAAUAACAACACUAUUGAAAUGUCUUUAUUGCAUGCAUCAUUAUUGUGACAAUAUUUGACAAUAAUAGAUGUAGUUAAAUCUAAUAAAUAUGACCUUGACUUCUACUAUGCAUAGUGAAGCCAUGAGGCUCAUCACAAAGAUGCCUUGAUCUUGAAUGCAAGCCUCUAUACUUGUAAGAGCUAUACAUUAAGAUUUGCAAAUGAUCAGUUUUGAAGUAGUAUAAGCCAUGGUUAGAGUCUUUGCACUAUAUGGACCUUGUACUUCAUACAUAUCCACCAAAUAUCAAAUGAAGCCUUAAAGUUGAGCUUUCCAUUGAUUCAAAAUAGUAUUCAAUUUUUACAAGCGAGUUACAAUAGUAGAAAUUAUCUCCGUUGUCAUAUUGUAAGUGCUUAUAGUAUGUAAAAGUUAAUUAAGACAUAUAAUAUGUUUGUAAGUCUUGAUGUAGAUUAGAAUGGUUAGUAAAUAAAUUUAAAGAGAAUUGAUAUAAGAAAAUUUAAUUGGAUAUUUAUCUAUUUUGAUUAUAGUGUUUAUAUUAUGUAGGAUUUAGAUAUUUAGUAUAAAGCUUAAGAGAAGGUUGGAAUUUAAAGCUAAAAGUCUAAACUAUUAGAAGGCUUUUUGGGAAGGAUGAAAGCAAGGUAUGGUUGGAUGAAGGCAAGGGGUGAAGACCUUCAUGCCUAUUGAUCAAAUGUCAUGUCCAAUGGGCUUCAAGGAGGCUGCCUGAGGCCUUGUUAGGGAUCAAGAUUUCACUUUCAGGAGCAUUCGAGCUUUGGAGGCUAGGAUCAGCAAGUUCAAGGUUUUGGGUAUAAUUUGGAUGAAGAGUUUGUGUGAUUUUGAUUUUUUAUGAAGGAGAUAUAGGUGUUCAAAGUUAAGGUAUCAAAUUUGUAUCUACUAUCACUCUUUGAAGCAUAACAUAUGUAUACAAAGAGCACUAAAAGAUCAGCACCUGGAAUUGGAGAGAACACGUUUUUAGCUACACUUUACAUAUAUUUUUUGAUGAAUUCCAAGUCUAAAUGAAGGAGUUAUAGGGCAUUGAAGACAACACAUGUAAUUCAAAGGCAAUAAGUGAGUCAUUUUAUUGAUAGUAAUGGUUGGAGCCAUAUCUUGAGUUUCUAGAUGAAUUUUUGGCUCAAAAUUUUGAUAAGUGUGAGUUAUUAGGUUAAAAAGCUAUAGAUCAAAGUUUCAUGGUAUUUGAGUAUUUAUUUUGUGAGAUAUGAAGAAAAUAACAUGCAAGUAUAUGUAAGCUGGGGUUUAAAGCUAUUAUUAGAAUUUUGGUGAUAUCUCAAGAUUUGUAACGAAUUUGUAGUUGAAUUUUUUUGUGGUAGUUUUUGAAAGUAUAUUAAUACUUCAUGUAAAAUUUUAGGUUUUUUGGACAGUCCGAUCAUGAGAUAUAAGUUGUUGAAGUUCAAGAAACAUUUUUCAUAAGGAUAUAUAAGGUUUUAGGAUACUUUAUCAUAUAUUUGGGUCUUUUUUUUUUUUUUUUUUUUUUUUUUUUUUUUCUUGGUACUUGGGCUAAUGUAUUGAUUUAAUUGCCCUAAAAGAAAAAAUAUCAUAUAUAUAAACUUGGUACUUUUAUAUCUUAGACUUGAUUAAGUAUUUAAUAGCUGUUAGAAGCUCAGCGCUUUCUUGAAGCAAACUCUCUCUACCCCAAUACCGCAAUGUCGUUGAGUGUGAGCUGUAUCACCUAUCAAGAAGAGAGAGGAAUAUGUGGAAGCAACUUUUGUGCUAGAUACUCACAAUUUAUUGUAUGCACUUGCCAUAAAAAUUCACUCAAUUUUUUUUUAUGGAUAACCAUUGCAUAUCCAUAAAAUUUAAGAAUGUACAAUCUAUCUUCUUGAUGAGAUUAUACUACUAAUAAAAAUAAGAGAUGAUGCCCAUGAAGAUGUUGAUGAAUUGAUCAUUAAAUAGCUUGAUGUACUCAGCUUAAACUACGAGGUCAAGUUUGUACAAAAUACAGCAUACUUGCAAACAUCUUUAGCUUUCUCAACCAUCCUCACAAUGACAUCAAAAACUUGUCUAAUCAUCAUUUGUUUGCCAUCCGUGCUAAUUUCAAAUAGUUUUAUUUUCCAUUUUGGAUAAUGACAUGUAAAAGUUUUGCACUUCCAAUAAAGAUUACUUCAACUAUCUUAUAAUUGAAAAGCAAAAUAGUAAGAUAGUUGAGGUUGUGCAACUUCAAUUGAUGGUUGAAUUAGAGUCAAAAGUCAAGAUAAGAAGUGUCUUGCUUUGAGUCAAUAUUAAGAAUGAGUGAAAACACCCUUUACAUGCAAAAGAACUUAGUGAUUUUUUUAUAAGCUCAUAAUACAAAGUACCUUCGUAAAUAAAGCCACAUAAUUGUCAAUGCACCUGUUAAAGCAAUCCAUGUGCAAUAUUAUUUUUGAAACAUCCAUGAGACAUGCUUCCAUUUGAAAUAAAGCUUUACAAGAGACAAAGUUGAUUAUGAGAUGAAACAAAUGGAAAGAAUUGAUCUCUAUCUUGUAUGCUUUGCAAUUCAAAACUUUUUUUUUAAUAAAUUCAACUUGGUCAUUUUUUAUAUCUUUGAAUAAUUUAAAAAUUGGCAAUGUCUAUUCAUAAAUUGACACAAAUUUUUUAUCAUCCAUAUUAAAGAAUUUUCAUCAAUAACCACAUCCUUAAAUAUCUCAAUUGAUUGUAAAUGUUAGUGCCUUCUCAAUCUUCAAAUAAGCUAUAAGAGUAUUUUUGAAAUUUAUUUGAUCAAAGAACUAUUUUUUCAAGACAUUUAAAAAGUCAUUGUAUUUUACUCCAUGCUUUCAUGUCCUACAACUUUAUAUGUGCCGUGAUAUUGUUUAUGUAGAAAAGAAUUGAAAUGAUUUCAAAUUCACUAUUUACUCUUGUUUAUGCCUUAUAAAUUGACUUCUUUGUAGUCAAGCUUCAUCUCUACAAGAGAUUUUUAAAGGAUCUGUAAUUUCUUCAUUAUUUUGAAUUCAACAUGUAUAGGUCAAGGAGAAGAACCUCAAAGAAAUAAAAGGUCAAUACACUCUUGUGCCACUCAAAAAGACUAAAAAAUCACUUGAAGAUGAUAAUAUAUUAAACUAGAAUGGCUAUUGCUAAAGACAAGAAGAUUAAAAAGUCUUGAAACAAGAUUAAUGACUACAAAGGCAUUGAUAAGAGUCAAAAAGGCUUCAUUCUUGCUUCUAUAUAUACUAUCUAACUAUAAGUUAUGUGGCAAUGUUUUAUAGGACCUCUAAUAUGUGUUGACUUUACUACACAUAUGUUUUAAUUUGCAAGGCAAGUUUUUUAUAUAUGCACUACAUAGCUAACUUAUUCUAUAAGCUACCAACAUGUAUAAUAUAUGGCUAACUUGUGGAUCAAGUUUCUAACCUAUCAAUUAAUUAAAAAUACGUGUAAAGUCAAAGCAACAUCUAUGAAGCUUCUAAGAAGCAUUUUUAGAAAAUAUUAUAAAAUAAAUCUAUAUUUAUAUAUUUUUAGUUAAUAAUUUAGAUAAUUAUGAAAAUAAAUAAUAUUUCCAUGAUAUUAUCUCAUUCAAGGGACGAAUUCUAUAAAGAGCAGUCAUCAUAUGUUGAAAAAAUCUAAGGUGUGACAAAUUAUGUUUACUACAUACUUUAAUUUUUAUUGUCUUUGAAGAUUAUUGAUUGGUCUUCUCAGCCAUUAAUAGUAUUCCAUAUCAAGGUAAAAAGACCAUCAUAUUAUUUGAUCAUAGUUGAGGCCUUCAUAACUCUUUUCAAUAUAAUACAUUUGAAACACCAAUUAAAGUUGUUCCUAUUUCAAAUAAAAUCACAAAACAUUGAGAGUCGCUUCGAAAGUUGUGAUACCAAACACAUUGUAUCUCAUUAUUUAUUUAAUAAAUGACAUAUUAUUCUUGGGAAUUUUUUAUCUCAAUUAUGUCAUCUUGAAGGUUGUAAUAAUAGCAAUGUCUUAUUCGGUAGAUCAAUAAGCAAUAGCUCUUGUAUUCAAAAAGCUAUGGUAACAUGAUUAUAUGGUAAAAAAUAAAAAAAUAAGGAUGUUAUUAUAGAAGAGCCUAAUAAAAAGAUGAAAUCAAAAAAUAAAGAUAAAUGAUAAAAAUAUAAUAUUUUUUUUAAUCAUAGUAUUAUUUUUUACAAAAGAAACUUUUAUUUAUUUUGUAGAAGUAUAAAUGAAUCAAAUCAAAAUAAAUGAAAUAAGAAAUUAAUACAAGCAUAUUAAGAAGAGAUUUAAAAAUAGAUUAUAGCAAAAAAUACCUCAAAUUAUCAAAUAUUGAUAUCCAGAGAGGACCAAUUAUUAACUUGAAGCACAAAACUAUACACAUAUGACAACUUCAAGAUUCUUUUAUAAAUUUGAGAGUGAAAUUUGAGAGAAGACUUUAUAGAAUUUCUUUGAGUAUUAGUCAUAGGUAAUUUGAGUGUAUAAGAUGAUUAUAAUUUUUCUUAUCAUGUGUUAUAAAUUUGAGCAUGUUCAAACAAUCAGAUUGAAAGUUAUUGAAGUUCAAGUGGAUUGGAGUCUCAAAAAUGGGGUUUCAAAGGUCAAUGAGGGUUUUAAAGAUCUCUACCAAUUUGCUAGUUGGAUUGAGAUGAAAUUUAUGUAUGUGUAUAGUAGACUUGAUUUUUAACAUAUAUAUAAAUUUAGAGAGGUAUUUAGUAAUAGAAUUAAGAGAUUUUGGCUUGAGAAGAUUAGCAUUAAGAUUGAAGAAGGAGGUUGGUCAAUAUUCAAGUGGAUUUUAGGAUUUAUCAUCUAUUUGGUAAGUUUAAUCUUCUUUAAUAUUAUUUUAUUUAUUUUUUAACUUAGUUUUUGUAAAGCAUGUAAAAUUUGAGUCAAAAUCAAUAAUUAAAUUAUUUUUUAUUGAAUUAUUAAUCUCCUAUAAGGUUAUAUAGAAUUUAGUUUAAGAUUUAGGAUUUGAUUAAAGAUUGAUUAGAAUUGAUUUUGAAUCUAAGAUUUAUUUAGAAUUUAGGAUUUUUUUGGAUUAAGCUACGAUUUAAUUAGAAUUUUUCUAAAAUUUUAUUAGGAUUUAUUAAGAUUAAUCUAGGAUUUAGGAUGUUAUUAGGAUGUUAUUAGGAUUAAUUUAGGAUUUUACCUAAGAUUUAAUUAAGGUCCAUUAAGAUUUUAAUUAAUAUUUUAAUUAGGAUUAAAUUAUGAUUUAAUUAGGAUUUAUUUUGAAUUUUUAUUUUUAAUAUUUUUUUAGGAUUUUUAUUUUUUUUAAUUUCCUCUUUUAAUAUUUUUUAAGAUUAUUAUCAUUUCUUUAAAAUUUUAUAUUUAUAUUUCUUUAAGAUUUCUUGUUGUUUUUCUUUGAUAUUAAUUUAGGACUUUUUUGUUUCUUUUGUAACUUCUUAUAAAUUUAUUUUUGAUCGGCUAAAAUUUGAUUAGAAUUAUUAAAGUUUACUUAAAGUUUAUUUAAGAUUAUAUUACUCUUAAUAGGAUUGUUGUUGCAUUUCUGUUUACCUUCUUUAUCUAGGUGCAUGAUGCAUUUUCAAGCAAGAACAUACAUAAUAUGAUAGCAUAUAAUUCUACAUCUUUUAGUUUUUGUAAUACAUGUCAAAUAUGAAUUUCAUACAUUUCUAUGGUCUUUGAGUAAAUUAUGAUUUUGUUUAAUUAAUAGACAAUAAAAUCAUGAAGAAAAUCAUAGAAGACAUUAUUUAUUAGAUGUUGAAAAAUAAUUGGUCUAUUUGUGAAUCUAAAAGAGAUGAUAUUAUAUUUGAAAUGCCUAUACUUAGUUUGAAAUGAUUUUUUUUAUUCAUCUUCCUUUUUAAUACAUACUAGAUUGUAUGUUUUUCAUAGAUUUAUUUUUGUAUAGAUCUUUGCUUGAUUGAAUUGAUGAAAAAGUCGUGAAAUUAAAGAUAGAAGAUACCUAUUCUUGAUGGAGAUCUUUUUUCCAUCUACAAUAGAUGUAGCAUAUAUAUCAAAAGUUCACCCUUCUUUUGUAGCAUAUAUGAAAGCUCUCGCACCUAUUAAUAAUAAUUUGGAUGUAUUGGUCUAAUGGGUUUUUAUUUAUUUAAUAGAAUCUUGAACUAAACCUUGAAAAAAAUCAAGGCUAUAAGAAAUCCAAUCUAUUUGGAACUAAUACCUCUUUAGCUACAAUAAUCUUAAAAUAAUUAAAAUAAAAAGAGAUUUAAUCACAUUAAAUAUUAUUAAAAUAUUAUGAUCACUUUUUAUUACAUUUAAAAGAAUACUUUCUUAUAUAACAUCUCUAGAAGACAAAAAAUAACAAUAUAUUAUUUCUACAUGCAUAUGCUUGGUUUUUUUAACUAAAAAUAUAUCUUAUUUUUUGACAAAAAAAUUAUUUAUAAAAUAUACUAAGGCUCCUAAAUAUAAUAAGGAUAAGACUUUGUGAUUUUAUUAUCUUAAAUAUACUUCUAUUGUAAAAGAAUUUGAAGGAUUUGAGAAAAGAAUAGAACCUUUAUUAGGAAUUAUGCAAGAUUCUACUUGCAUAGUCUCUAUUGUAAUUGGAAAAAUUUAUUUUUUUGAUAUCUUUUCUUAUUUAACAAUCGUAUUCCUUAUUUUGUGAUACAUUAUUUUUUUAUGCAAUAUUGAAAAAUAUGCUUAGAUUCUCUACAAUGUAGGUACAAACCUUUUUGAUACCGAUAAGUUUUUUUGUUUAAUAAGAAAUUUUAAAAAUAUUAUAACAAUUUGUAUAGACUCUAGCUUAAACGACAAGCUUUCGAAAACUCAGAAGGUAUUACUAUGGCUUGAAUUAUACUUCUUCAACCAAAUCUUUGUUCUUAGCAUCUUUUAAAGAUUCAAUUGUCACAUGUUGUCAUAGACAGAGGUAUUUUUUUCAAUAUUUAUCUAUAUGAUUAGGUAGAAGUAUAUAAAUAUAGAUUAAUUUCAUAAUAUCUUCUAAAGAAGGUUCCUAAAAGCUUCAUAAAUACAAUUUUGAUUUUAUAUAUAUUUAUAUUUAAUUGGUAGAUUAAAAACUUGGUCAAUAAGUUGAUCACAAGUCACACAUGUUGGCAGUUUGUGGAAUAAGCUAAUUAUGUGGCAUAUAUAUAGAUAGUUUAUAUAGAGACAAGAAUAAAGCCUUUUUCACUCUUGUCAAUGUCUUUCUUGUCUUAUACUUAUUUGAAGUUUUUUUAGUCUUCUUAUCUUUGACAAUAACUAAUCUAGUUUAAUACAAUAUUAUCUUUGAGUGAUUUUUUAGUCCUUUUGAGAGACAUGAGAGUGUAUUGAAGAUUUCUUUUUUUGAGAUUCAUGGCUUUAACACAUGAAAUGGCUUAAGCAAUAAAUUACACUAAUGAAUUUGCUCGUGAUAUUUUCAACAUUAAAUCAUUGACAUUAUCUUUUAAUCCAUAUUAAAACUAACUAAUGAAGGCUUUAUCAUUCCAAUCUACAUCACAAAAAGAUUUUAGAAUUUAAUAGCAUAUGUAGUAGUUGGAUGUGAUUCUUAUCAUAGUGAUAUGAAUUUAGUCUUUGCUAUCUUUUUUUAAUCACUUUCUCCAAAUGUAGCUAUAAACACUUUCAAGAAUGAAUUUAAAUCAUAGAAUAGCCAUGAAUCUUUUUCCAUCAAAGGUGCAAACUAAGAAAGAACACUCUUAAAGAAAAGUGCUCCAAUGAAUUCAACUUGAGUAAAUCCAUUAAGAUAUUGAGAAGGAUGCAAUUUUAGAUAGAGCUUUAUUUCUUCUAAAAAAUUUUAAAAUUUUGAUCUUAUUUCAUCAAACUUCUCUAGCAUACUUAUCAUUUUUUUCUUAUACUUAUCAUAGCAAGAUUCCUUGAAUUUAAUUGUCAUCUUAAUUUGCUUAUUUUUCUUAAUUGCUUAACUUAUUGGUACAAACUUUAAGCUCUAUUGUUGACUUCUUCUAUAGUCAUAGAAAUAAUGUUUCUAUGAUUCACAUUGAAAAUUUGUAAGAUUUCCACUCUUAGAGUGUUGAUAAUCUCAUGAAGAUGUGCAAUAGUUGCAAGUCUAUUCUCACUUUUCUUGAGAGUAGUAUCCAUGAUCUUUCUUUUCAUAGACAACUCAAGUAAAUUCAAAAAUUUAAAUUAUAGGAUGGUAAUCUGUAACUUCUAAUAUUAAAUAAAAAAAUUUAUAAAAAAGGAUAAUCUUCUAUCUUUGAAAAAUGAAAUCAGUGUUAAAAAACUAAACUAUUUGUUUAAAGAUACAUAGUUCACAAUUUUCAAAACACAACAAUAAAAGUGGAAUAAUCCACUCACUUCUAAAACAAAACAAAGACAAUAAUGAAGUCUUCUUCAUUCUUGUUAAUGCCUUUGUAGUCCUUAAUCUUAUUUCAAGACUUUCUAGUCUUUUUAUUUUUCACAAUAGCCAUUUUAGUACAAUAAAUUAGUACUCUUUUUAAAUUUCCAAGGACAUGAACUUCAAAGAAUUAAAAGGUCAAUACACUAUUGUGCCACUCAAAAAGACUAAGAAAUCACUAAAAUAUGGUAAUAUAUUGAACUAAAAUGGCUAUUGCCAAAAACAAAAAGACUAAAAAGACUUGAAACAAGAUUAAGGACUAGAAAGGUGUUGACAAGAGUGAAGAAGAUUUCAUUCUUGCCUCUAUAUAUAUUAUCUAAUUAAGAACUAUGUAGCAAUGUUCUGUAGGACCUCCAAUAUAUGUUGACUUUAUUAUACACAAGUCUUAACUUACAAAGUAAGUUUUUUAUAUGUGCACCAUAUAAUUACCUUCUUCCAUUAUCUACCAACACAUUGUCGUGAUGUAACAAGACUAAUAGGUGAAAGAAUGUAGAGAUUAUUAUAAUUUAGGAGAUCUUAGUUCAAAGUAUUAGAACAAAUUAUCUUAGAAAUAUAGUUAAUAGUCAAAGGGGUAGUAAAAUUAAAAGGUACCAAUGCUACCUUUUAGAAAGGUGACUUCUACUUACUUUGUAGGACCAUAAAUAAGGCAAAACAAAGUAGGUUGGAAAAAUAAAUAAUAUAGGCAUCUUUAAAAAGAAAUUAAGAAUAAAUUCUAGCAAAAUUUACUCAGAAAAACUAGAUAUUAAUAUGCGGAGAGGGCCGGUUAUGAACUAGGAUCGAAAUCAGACCUUGAGGCACAAAACCGAGUUUCGAUGAUGAUUCUGGGGUUCUUUUGCAAAUCGGAGAGUGAGGUUUAAUAGCAGACUGGAUAGGGUUUCUAUGAGCAUUGGUUUUGGAUGAUUUGGAUUUUUAUUGACUUUGUAAGAGCUUUGCAAAGUCAAGGUUUAUUUCAGAUGACUUGGGUUUUGUGAAAUAAAAUAGGGUUUACAUUUUGGAUGAUUUCAAGAGUUUUGUAAUAGAUCUAUGAGUGAAAUUUUGUGGAUUAAUAGUUAUAGUUGUGUUCAAUAUAUGUUGUAAAUUUGAGCUUGAUCUAAUAGUUGAAUUGAGGAUUAUUGAGGUUUAAGUGAGUCAAGGUCUUAGAAAGUAGAAUUUUAGGUCUAGUGAGGAUUUUCAAGAUUUCUUGCAAUCUAUUGGUUGGAUUGGAAUGAAAUUUGUGUUAGAGGAUAUUAGACUUGUUUUUCUAUGUGUAUGAGAAUUUUGAAAUCAAUCGAAUGGUGGAGAGGAGAGAUAUUGACUCUGAAAGAUUGGCAUCAAGAUUGGAGAAGGAGGUGGGCCAAUACCCGAGCACAUUUUUGAAGUAAUCGUCUAUUUGGUAAUUCCGAUCCUUUUAGAACUUUUUGUGCUUUUUUUCAACUUAGUUUUUAAGAAGUGUGCAAAAUUUCAAUUAAGAUCGACGAUUUAUUCAUUAUUUAUUAAGAUUUAAUUCUAUUAUAAAAAUUACUAAGGUUUAUUUAAGAUUUGGUUAGGAUUUGAUUUAGGGUUUGAUUUAGGGUUUAGAAUUUGGUUUGGAUUUCAUUUAGAAUUUAAAGUUUGGUUAGGAUUUGGUUUAGGGUUUAGAGUUUGAUUAGGGUUUCAUUUAGGAUUUAGGAUUUGAUUAGGAUUUGGUUUAGGAUUUGGUUGGAGUUUGGUUUAAGGUUUGUUUAGGAUUUGGUUUAGGGUUUGACUUACGAUUUGGUUAAGGUUUGGUUUAGGAUUUAAAAUUUGGUUUAAGGUUUAGGAUUUGGUUUAGGGUUUAGGAUUUGAUUAGGAUUUGGUUUAGGAUUUAGGAUAUGAUUUAGGGUUUAGGAUUUUAUUAGGAUUUAAGAUUUAAUUAGUUUUGGCCUAAAGUUUGAAUGAAGUCCAAUAGGAUUUUAUCUAGAAUUAAAUUAAGAUUGAAUUGAGAUGUAUUUGAGAGAUAUUUGUGAUCAUUCUAAUAUUUCUUUAAGAUUUCUUAUUGCUUCUUUGAAAUUUCUUUGAGUUUUUUUUUUUUU